rnacentral:lncRNA from 1 species
AGAGAGAGAAACAGUGAAGUUGAAAAUGUGGAAAAUAUCUUCUUGUCUUUGUUCUAGAGUCUUCUGCAGUAUUUAUAUUUACAAAACAAUAUUACAAGUAAAUGAGAAGUAAUAAAUGUGUAUGAAAACUAUUUGGGCCAAGUCUUAUUAUUAGUUGGGUCGUCCGAAUAAGCAACAUUAUUGUGUGGCCCGGAUAUCCUAACACCCCCAUCAAGCUGGAGGGUGUGAAGACUCCAAGCAUGGGAAGGCAGCAGCGGUGAGCAGGUCCAGGCAGAGAUUUGGUUAAAAUAUCUGCUAACUGAUUUGCACUGACAACAUAGUGAAAAGAAAUUAGGUUAGAAUGAAGGCAGUCACGAACGUAAUGACAAUCAAUUUCAAUAUGCUUCAUGCGUUCAUGAAAAACAGGAUUCUUCAUGAUACUCAAAGCAGCUUGACUAUCGCAAUAUAUAGGAACAAGAUCAGAGACAAUAACACCAAAAUCACAUAGUAGGCGAAUAAGCCAAAUAACCUCAGCGACAAUCUUACGAAGAGCCUGAUACUCAGCCUCAGUAGAUGAGAGUGAAAUGGUAGGCUACUUCUUACUUUUUCAAGAAAUAGGACUACCACCCAGAGUGAUAAAGAAACCAGUAACAAAGCGACGAGUGUCACGACAGGUAGCCCAAUCAGAAUCAGAAUAUCCCAUCAAUGAAAAAUCAGAAGCAUUGGAUAACAAAAUACCCUGUGUCGGAUUGUUCAUGAGAUAACGUAACACAUGAAUGGUAGCUAACAUAUGAGGAACCUAUGGAUGUUGUAAAAAUUGACUUAAGUGUUGGACAGAAAAGAAUAUGUCAGGCCCUGUAUGUUGUAAGAAAUUGAGUUUGCCAACCAAAUGCCUAUAGGAGCUGGGAUCAGUCAAAGAAAAACCCAUGUCUGUAACAAGUUUGCUGGAACAGUCCAAAGGAGUACUCACAGGAGAAAACUGAUAACAAUUAUAUUCAUGAAGUAAGUCAAGAGUAAACUUAUGUUGACUGACAAUAUAACCCUGUGCAUAUUUGAAGACUUUCAAGCCAAGGAAGUAAUGGAUAGCACCAAGAUCCUUGAUUUUAAAUUGACCAUCAAGAAAAAUCUUUAAAUAUUCUAAUCCAGCUAAAUCAUCCGAAUCCAACAAUAUAUCAUCAACAUAAAUAGCCAAUACAAUCUGCGAACUGGAAGGACUUUUUGUAAAUAAUGAAUAAUUAUUCUUACUAGAGGUAUAGCCAUGAGAAAUAAGAUCUGUGGACAGUUUAAAAAACCAUUGACGAGAUGCUUGACGAAGACCAUAAAGAGAUUUCUUAAGGAGGCAUACCAAAGGGACAUCAGAAGAAGAAGUAACUUCAAGACCAAGAGGUAAUUUCAUAUAAACCUCCUCAAGAAGAUCACCAUGAAGAAAAGUAUUAUUAACAUCUAACUGAAACAAUGUCCAUACCUUCUUAGAAGCAAUAGUAAGGAGACAUUUAAUAGUAGUUAGCUUAACUACAGGGGAAAAAGUUUAGUAAAAUCGACUCCCUCCUUUUGAGUAUCACCACGAAUAACCAAAUGAGCUUUAUAUCGCUCAAUGGAUCCAUCAAAUCACUGUUUGAUCUUGUAAACCCAUUUGCAAGAAAUGACUUUCUUAUGAGGAGGGAGUGGGACUAUGUCCCAAGUAUUAUUAGCCUUUAGGGCCUGAAACUCCUUGACCAUAGCUUCCUGCCAAUCCAGAUGGCUAGCAGUCUGAUGGUAAAAUUGUGGUUCAUGAUUGUGAAGCUCAACAUGUGAGAUCUUGAAUGUAGUAGAUUCAAGGAAUGCAUGAUGGGAAGAUGAACAAACAUAAUCUUUAAGAUAAAAAGGUUUAUGACUCUGUCGAGUAGAAUGUCUAGAAGUUAAAAUAUGGGAAGCAACGAUGGGUGAAGUAGAGACAGAAGAAGGAGGAGGAACAGCUAAAAGAGCAGAAUUAGGAGCAAAAACUAGAGAAAAAGGCACUGAAUUAGUAGAACUGGGAGAAAUAAAAGAAUGGGGAGUUGAUGGGGAGUCUUCAGAGAAGGUAGAAUAAGAAAGUGGAAAUAAAAAAGGGGUAGAGGAAGGGUAAGAUAAGAUGUGUUUAUGGAAUACUAUAUCCCGAGAAUAGAAAAUCAAAUCAGUGGACAAAUUCAAUAGUUUGUAACCUUUCUUGCCAAACGGAUACCCCAAAAAUAUAGAAGAAAUUUCCCUUGAUUGAAACUUGUUUCAACUAAUUUUAGGUGAGGUAGCAAAGCACAAACAACGAAAUGAUCUCAAAUGGUCAUAAGAAGGAGGGGACUGAUGUAAUUUCUCAAAAAGUGAUAUAUUAUGUAGUAAAGGAGAAAGAAAUCUGUUAAUCAAGUAUGUGACUGUUAAGACACAGUCACCCCAAUACUUCAAGGGUAACUUAGAUUGAAAAAGUAAGGAUCUUGAAGUUUCAAGAAGAUGCUUAUAUUUUCUUUCCACUACACCAUUUUGUUGAGGCAUAUGCGGAAUGGAAGUUUGAUGCAAUAUACCAUUUUUAGCCAAGUAUUUAGAUGCUUCAUGACUGCCCCCCAACUCAAAAGCAUUAUCGAACUUAAGAAUUUGGAUGUGUGUUUUAAAAUAGAUCUUAACCAUGAAAAUAAAUGCCUUUAAAAUGGAGAAAGUAUUAGCCUUGGAAGAUAGAAGAUGGGUCCAAGUGGCUCUAGUAUAAUCGUCCACUAAGGUAAUAAAAUAUCUAUAAUCAUUGUAAGUGGCAGUAUUAUAGGAGCCCCAAGUGUCAACAUGAACCAAUUAAAAUGGUUUAGUAGAAUAAAUGGAGCUAUCUGGGAAGGACAGUCUUUCUUACCUAGCCAUAGGAAAUAUGGUGCACAAGAAAGAUUAUUUGGAAGACAAUUUACUAGAUAAAUGUGGGAUGGAGUGCAUUCUAUGAAACGACAUGUGGCCAAGUAUUUGAUGCCAAAACAAAUCAUUUUUAUUAAUAGAAGAUGGCAAAUUACAAGGGGUAAUAGAAAAAACAGUAUCAAAAUUAGAAGUAUUACAAGUAAAGGAACUAGCAGAAUUAGGUAAAGGUACAGUAAUAGACUCAGAUGGAAAAAUAUUAGCAGGAGCAGAUGUAGUAACAGAAAUAGUAGGCGGGAGUGAUGAUGUUUCAGCGGAGGGAUCUAGAGAUGUAUUUGGGGAGGAUAAGUUCUCUUGGCUGAGGAAAUAUAAACCUCUUGCAGCUUUACCAAAUUCCAAUGGCCUCUUCAGAGAAGGGGCCUGUAAGAAAUAAUUUAUUUUGGUAAAGAUUAUAUAACAGUCAAAUUGAUCAAUGAGUUGAAAGAUGGAAAUUAAAUUGAAUUGAAAUGAAGGAAUAAGUAACACAUUAUGUAGAAUCAUAUCAGACCUAAGAAAUAAAGAACCAGUGGAGAUAACCCUAACUUGUAUCCAUUGGGAAGAGUAAUAAGAAAAGAAAUGGGAAUUGGUUGAAGAUUAUGUAGUAAAUGUUUGUGAGGAGUCAUGUGGUUAGUUUCUCCAGAAUCUAAAAUCCAAGAAUGCAUACCUAAUUAGGAACUCGCACACAUAUGAAAACCAACAGAAUUUUCCACAGGGCUACUAAAAACACUAUUAAUACAUACCUGCAAAAUUUGCAAAACCAAAAAAUUUUACAUCUGGUUGUUCAGACAAGUGAUUAUGUUCGAAUGAAGCUAUCAGUUGUGGAUAAGUAUCACUGUGAGACCCAUAAGAAGGAAGAAUAUGGGAGGAAGAGUUGUUCUUUGUAGAAUUAGAAGAAGACAGAUCAGUUUGCACACAUGCUGCAGAUUUCGUACCUUUGUUGAACUGAUAAUCUGCAGGGUAACUAUGUAGUUUGUGACAUUUGCUCAUGAUAUGUCCUAAGUUUUUGCAAUAUCUACAAAUCAAGGUAUUGGUGGGUGGCUGCUUGGACUCAAAAUUAAUCCUUUGGGGAUAAGUCCUACCACCUCCAUGAGACAUAGGGAGAAAAUGCCCGGGAGGUGAAUAUGAAGGCCCAGAAGAAUCAUAAUAAAUCCCUUUCUGAGAAUAAGGCCUUUCUUAAAACUCAAAAUAGACCCUGAAAGAGUAAUAUUUACCAACAUUUUGAGAAGUUCCCUGAGAUUCUCUUAAAGUUGUCAUUAUAUCUAGAUGAGGCAUAGAAGAACAUGGAUUCAGUGAUUAGAUUAGAAGGAAUGGAAUUUUGCUUUUGCUUUUCAUCAUGAUGAACCAUGGAAUAAGCCUUACUAAGGCUGGGAAGUAGAUUCAUCAUGAGAAUGUUACUUUUGCAAGUAGAGUAGGGUUCAUUUAAUCCACUAAGAAACUGGAACAAUUUUUGUUCCUCAAGAAAUUUGGGUAAAGCACCACAGGUGCAAGUGGGACCUACAUAUGUUGUGUUUAGCUCAUCCCAAAGUCCCCUAAGUUAUGUAAAAUACGUAGCUAUAUCUGAAGAACCCUGAGUGGUGGAAACUAGUUCACGUUGAAUUUGAAUAUAUUUGGACCCAUUAGAUUGUCCAAAUCGUUCAUUUAGAUCCUCCCAAAUCUCUUGUGCAGUAUUAAAAUCAAUAACACUCAUAGCAACAUUCCUAGAUAAUGAGUUAGUUAUCCAAGCUAUAACCAUAUCAUUACAUCUUUCCCAAUAUUGAUAGUAAGGAGACUCAGGUACAGGCCUAGGAUUUCUACCAGUGAUAAGGCCUAGUUUAUUCUUAGCUGAAAGUGAAAUCAACAUACUUUUCCGCCAGCUAACAAAAUCAGUUCCAUCAAAUGGUGAAACAGUAAGUUGGAUACCAGGACUGUCAGCUAAAUGUAUAUAAAACGGAUGACAUUGAUAAAUAGUGAAGGGAGUAAACCCUUCAGUAGAGGUAGGAGCAUUAUGAACAAAAAUAGACGAAUUGCCACUCAUAAUUCCAUAAGGAAUUCAAUAAAUCAGUAGAUUUGAGACCUAUGUUAGCGAAGGAAAGGUGUUACCGUUCUUCUUCCAAAACCUGAAGAAGACUAGGUCUUGCUCAACAAUGGGAUCCGUCAAAUUCCCCUCGAGAACGACACGAAUCGCAAGAAUAUUAAUUCGCCGCAACAAAUACAACAAGUGUAUGUCAAAUUCCCCUCGAGAGCGGCACAAAUCACACUAUUACUGGUUCUCCGCAAAAAAUACAACCACCACAACAACAUAAAGAAAAUAGUCCAACUAAUCCAUCAUUGUAUACAACCGCCAAAAGAAACUCUAGCGAAGUGAAAUUCCAGCGAUGUGAAAUGAAAAUUUCAACUCAAAUCCUCAAAAAAAUCAAUGAUAGAGGAGAGGAAAUGAUUGGAGGGUAAUACCGAUCGAAAGAGAAGAUGAAAUCGAGUUAAACACCUACUUUGAUACCAUGUUAAUCAAUAAAAUCAUCCGAAAUCGAACAAGAUAAAGAAGAUGAUAACCGAACUAGAGAGAGAAACAACGAAAUUGAAAAUGUGGAAAAUAUCUUCUUGUCUUUGUUCUAGAGUCUUCUGCAAUAUUUAUAUUUACAACAACAAUAUUACAAGCAAAUGAGAAGUAAUAAAUGUGUGUGAAAACUAUUUGGGCCGGGUCUUAUUAUUAGUUGGGUCGUCCGGAUAAGCAACAUUAUUGUGUGGCCCGGAUAUCCUAACAAUAAAUGAAGGCAAUAUACUUUUAAAAAACCUCAAAAUUAAUAUUUUUUAAGAAGCAUGUAAAAGAAAAAUAUGACAGAUAAUUUGAAACUGAAGAAGUUGGUGAUUAUUUGAGUAUGUUACACUUGUGAAUAAAUCAACUUUUUGAAGACAAAUACUUUCUUGUAAGUACUGUUUCGCCGUUGAUGUAGGUCGAAAAUAAUUGUAUCACGAAAAAAUAUGGUUUUCAUUAACCAAUUAGUUGUAUAUUUUAUGCUUUCACCUUUCAAAUGGUUAAGAGAUUUCUUGUAUUAGGGUUUUGUUUUGUUGACAUCAUUUUCCCCUAAGAAUGCCUUGCUUUAUUGGUUCACAAAAGCAAAAUAAAUUUGUGUAUCACCACUCAAAUCUAUGGCAUUGUUCUAAGUCUAUGAUAUGUAUCUUUGCUUUGUCCUGAUUGACAAUACAAAUUGUUAGUUGGACUACAUCAUUGAUGAAUCUAAAAAAUAUGCAUACUAUGAGAACUUGUGAUGUAUAUACCUUAUAAAGCCCUCUACCCUGUCCUCAUUUGUCUUACGAUCGUACCAAGGAGGCGUCCAUCUCUAGUUCCAUAUAUGUCACUUCCAAUAUAGCUAGCUAUGGCACAUAUUGUCUAUAAUAUGGUUCAACUGAUAUCACAAAUUUAUCUCUUCCACUUAUAAGUCAUUAUUGAAUUCAAAACUGUGUGUAUCAUGUGAACUUAGCUUGUAUGAUCAUGUCUAACAAAGUCCUUCAUAUUCUCUCCUAUAUUUUGAUCUGGGAUAAUACCUAAAGGAAUCAUGUUCCCUUCUUCAGAAGCUUGCUAGCCUAGAAGUUUAUCAAUCAUUGUGACUCAUGCAUCUUUUAUUACGAGUGUUAUGUUAUAGCGCUUAAUUGUGAGAAAUGUUAUAUUAUUAUGUCGUCUAAAAAAUAACUACAUGUGACCUUGAGAUUAAUAACUUGAAAAUCAGGAAGAGGUUGUGUGCUCUAUUGAUAAUGUAAAAUUUUUUUACAUGGAUUAAAUUCAUUUCGAACUUAUAGGAAAGCUAGUGGAAUAUUAUACUAAUUUUCUACACACGUGUGUAGUUAUUUUAACUAAAGAUAAAGUGUGCCUUAUUUCUUUUCACUUAAGAAAUUGUCAAAUCGUUACAGAAAGAUAAAGCAAAAUAUAGUAAUAUUGAGUAUGAUUUUAACAAAUCCAUUUCUUGUAUUCACGACGAUCUUCAUAUAUAAACAAUAAUAUUAGGAAAUACGAAAGCAACGUUAAAAGCUACUCAGAUAGUGUAAAUAUUUUUGACAUUAUAAAUGUAGUUUCAUUUUCACAUACUAUAGCAGCAGAGAUUAUUAUAGUUAUUAUCUUUAUCACGUUAUUAAUUAAUACUUAUUGUAUAGAUUUAAUAUAAUUUGUAACGAUCAAAUUAAAUCCAUGACACAUAAAUUGUCCAAUUUGGCCAAACAAAUUUCACAGAUUUGUUCCCUUGGCUUACGUCAUGAUCGAGUUGUAAAGCAACUAGUUAUGUGAAUUUGUGAUAUACGUCUUAUAAAUCUAUUACUUUCUUUUCAUUCCAAUGUGAUUCACUUAAAUAACAUGUGCACCCCUUCUUCAAAUACUUGCCAACCUAUGUUAGAAUUAGGGUUAGAAGAGUUACCCAUAAAUUAUUAAAUUAAUUAUGCGAAGACCAUUUAAAAAUAGAGAAGCUUUUAGAAAAAUUAAAGAAUCUUUAAUUAGUAAUUAUACAGAAUAUAUAAGUCUAAAUAAAACAAAAGAAAACCCACAAAAAUUAGCCUACUUAAUUACAUUAAUAUCUAGUAUUGAAUCAAAAUUAAUAACACAUUUAAAAUCUAGAAGAAUGAAACACAUACCACCUAAUUAUGAUAAAAUUAGAUUUAGGUAUCCACCAAGAUAUUAUAAAUAUAAUUUAAGAUGAAUAAAGUGCAACAAUAUAAAGAAUUAAAACAAAUUAUCUCUGAAAAACGUAAAGAAUUAAAAAUAAGAAUAAAAAGACUACAUUAUAAUAUAUUUGCCGGAGUUAGUAAAAAUUCAAUAAAUACACAAAAAGAUGAAAUAUCAAAAUUAGAAUCACAAAUAGAUAGUUUAGAAUAUGUAUAUCAACAUGACCUAUUCACAAUAAAAUGAAUAAAGAAGAAUUUAUAAUAGAUGAAAAAAUAUAUGAAAACUACGAAGGAUCAAAAAUAAAAAUAGUAUUUUCUAAUCUAGGACGAAGAUAUAAGAAAAUAGGUGAACAUUUAUAUCUAAUGUUAGAAAAAGAAGAAUUAAAAUUAGAAGAUAAAUUAACAGCAAUGGUAAGAAUAGAAAAAGAAAAUGAAGAGAUAGAUAGGAAAAAAGAAAUAGAAAAAAUAAAACAACAAACUACGGAAGAAAUACGAAAAAUAGAAGAAACCAAAAAUAGUAGAAUUGCUGAAUUAGAAAAAGAAUUACAAAUGUUAAAAGAACUGUAUGAACAAAGACAAAAAGAAAAAGAAGAAAAAGAUAGAGAACAGAAAUUACUAAAUGAGAUAAAUCAAUUUAAGGAAAAAUUAGAAAUAAAAAACGAAGAAUUAGAAAUAAAUAAUAUAGAUAUUGAAGAGACAGAUAAUUAUGAGUCCGAAGAUAGUGAAACAUACACAGAAAUAUUAACAAAUACAAAAAAUUUAGAAAUCAAUGAAGAACAAAAAAUUAAUGAGGAAAACUUAGAAAAUACCCACACAGAAAUAAAUACUCUUGAUAAAAAAGAAAAUGAAAAUAUAAUACCUAAAACAACAGAAAUAAGAAAACCCAUAUAUUAUAAGAAUAAGUUUAAAAAAUAUAAUGAAUAUGAUAAAUGGAUACCAAAACAAAUAGUGAAUAAAAAUUAUAACUUUUUAGAUCUAGACUGUGUAAUAGAUACAGAAAAAACAAUACAAUUAUGGAUAGGAUAUAUGACAAAACAAUUAUUAGAUAAUAAUAUAAAUAUAACAGAUGCACCGGAAUAUAUAGAAAAAACACUAAUAGGAUCAGUAAAACUAUGGUUUGCAAAUCUAACCGAAAAUAGCAAAAAAGUAUUAAGAACUAAUAAACCUAUAGAAGGAACAUCAUCGACAACAACUAAACUAACACCUAUAGAAUUAUUAAAAAAAUAUGAAACAGCUAUAAAAGAUGAAUUUGGUAGUACGACAACAAUCGAAGAAGAACAAAAUGAAGAAAAAGAUACAAAUAGAAAUUUAAUGUUAAAAUUAGCAAUAUGUAAUAUGUGUUAUAUAGAUGAAUAUACUUGCGCAUUUAAAGAAUAUUAUUACAAAGGAGCAUAUAGUAUAGAAGAAAGUAAAGAAAUAAGAAAAUUAUAUUUUAAUAAAUUACCCGAGCCAUUUAGUUCGAAAAUAAUAAAAAGUUGGGAAGAAGCAAAAAUAGUAGAUACGUUAGGAGCAAGAAUAAAAUAUUUACAACAAUGGUAUAGAAACUUAUGUGAAAAAUAUAGAGAAGAAUUAAAAAUGGAAAAAACAUUAAUAAGAAAUUUAGCUUGUUGCAAAAAUAAAAUAGCACCCCAAUUUGGAUGCGAAGAAAGAUAUUAUAAGAAAAGAAAAAGACAUAAGAAAUAUAAGAAAUAUAAAAAAUCAAAAUAUAAAUAUAAAAAACCAAGAAAAAGAUACUAUGUAAAAAAUUAUAAACAUAAAAGACCAUAUAGAAAAAAGAAAUCUAUAAAAGAAUGUACUUGUUAUAAUUGUGGAAAGUUAGGACAUUUAGCUAGAGAUUGUAAAUUACCUAAAAAUCCAAAAAAUAAACAAAUAUCAGAAAUAAAAAUAGAAAAUACCGAAUACAUGCAGAUAGAUUAUAUAGAUUAUGAAUUAGAAAGUGAAGAUAGUAUAUAUGAAAUUUCAGAAAACGAAACAGAUAAUGAAAUAGAUAGCGAAAUAGAUGAAUCAAAUGACUGAAGAAGAUAUAAAAAUAAUAACAAAGGAAGAAUAUUUAAAUGAUGAAGGAACGGAACAAAAAAUAAUAUUUGACAGUAAUAUAUUUGAUGAAAUAAAAGGAAAAGAAUUAGAUUUAAGUGUAGACAAAAUAUUUAAAAUACCAACAAUAAAAAAUAUUUUUACUAGGAAAAAAGAUGAAUAUUAUGUAGUAUGCCAAAAAGAACAUGUAAUAGAUUGCAGAUAUGCAAAAGGAAAAGCUAGUAUACCACUAGUAACAAAAAGAAUAAUUAAUAAAGAAAUAAAUGAUAUAAAAAGUAAAGGAGAUCCAAUAAAAUAUGUACACCUUGGAGGUACAGAGAUAUUAAUAAAAGCAUGUUUUAGAGAAGGAAUAGAUACACCAAUAGAAUUAUAUUUAGCAGACGAUAGAAUUAUAAAACCUAUAGAAAAAAGCAUAAUAACUGCCGUAAAAGGAAAUCUAAUAUACCAAAAAUUUAAAUUUAUAAUAAGUGCAAAUUAUUCAGUAGCAGUAACAGAUAGGAAUAUAGAUAAAUCAUUAGUAUUAUAUUGGAAAAUAUCAGGAAUAGAGUUAACCCCAGGAAGUAAAAUAUUUACAGCAAGAUGUAAAAAUCUAUAUGUAUUAACAACAAAACAUAAAAUAACAGGAAAAAAUAAGAUUAACAAAAUACAAAUAGAAAGCCCAUUCGAACAAAUAGUAAAAACAAUAGAUUAUAAUGAUUAUACCUAUAGAGACAUAGAUACAGAAGAAAAUUUAGAAAUAGUAAAUGAUAGAAUAAGUACAACGAAAAGAAUAGCUAAUGAAAAGCCAGAAUCAUCAAGCUCAUCAAAAAGAACAAGUUAUGAAACAAAUUCAAUAAGUAAUUUAAACCAAUAUUACAUAACGGGAAAAAUAAAUGAAAAAGAAUAUUUAAUACUUUUGAAUACAGGACAAGAAGAAAAUCAUAUAGCAAAAUAUCUAGUAAAAAAUGAAGAAAUAAAAACUGACAAUGAUAUAUGCCCAGAUCUACCAAGAAGUUUAAUAAAUAAUAAAAAUAUAGCAGAAAAAGAAAUAAUGUUAGGAGUUAGAAAAAUAAAAAUAGAAUUCGAAGUAAAGGAAGAAAUGCAAAAAGCAGAUAUAAUAUUAGGAAUAAAAUGGUUAGAACAAGUAAAACCAUAUAAUAUAGAACAUACACAAUUAACCUUAACAUAUAACCAAGAAAAGUUAUUCUUAAAAAGAGCCUUAACAUGAAAUGAAGAUACAUGUAUUAAUGAAGAUAGUAGUAGAAGGAUAUUACAGUAGAUAUUAUACGCCUAUGAUAGAUACAGGAGCAGAAGCUAAUUUAUGUAGAUAUAAUUGCUUACCAGAAAGCAAAUGGGAUAAACUAAAAACACCAAUAAUAGUUAAAGGAUUUAAUAAUGAAGGAAGCUUAAUUACUUAUAAAGCUAGGAAUGUAAAAAUACAAGUAUGGGAUAAGAUAUUAACAAUAGAAGAAAUUUAUAAUUAUGAAUUAACAUCAAAAGAUAUACUUUUAGGAAUGCCAUUUUUAGAUAAAUUAUACCCACAUAUAAUAACCAAAACAGACUGGUGGUUUACAACACCAUGCAAACAAAAAGUAAGAGCAAAAAGAGUUAAUAAUAAAAUAAGAAAGAAAACUGAUUGGAUAAAAGGAAGUGAAAAAAUUACACAAAAGUUAGAAAAUAUAAACAAUACUGAAGAUACAGUAGAACUAGUAGUAUUUUCGAUAAAUAAAACAGAAAUAACUAUAUUUUCAAUAAAUAAAAUAGAAAUAAUUCAGAAAAAAUUAGAACAAUUAUAUAGUGAAGAUCCAUUAAAAGGAUGGGAAAAACACAAAACUACUAUAAAAAUUGAAUUAAUAGAUAAGAAUAGCAUAAUAACACAAAAACCAUUAACAUAUAAUUUUGAUGAUUUAAAAGAAUUUAAAAUGCACAUAGAUGAAUUAUUAGAAAAACAAUAUAUACAAAAAAGUAAUAGUAAACAUAAUAGUCCAGCAUUUAUAGUAAAUAAACAUAGUGAACAAAAAAGAGGAAAAAGUAGGAUGGUUAUUGACUAUAGAAAUUUAAAUGCAAAAACUAUAACAUAUAAUUAUCCGAUACCAAAUAAGAUAUUAAAAAUAAGACAAAUCCAAGGAUAUAAUUAUUUUAGCAAAUUUGAUUGUAAAUCAGGAUUUUACCACCUAAAGCUAGAAGAAGAAUCUAAAGAAUUAACCGCAUUUACGGUACCACAAGGAUUUUAUGAAUGGAACGUGUUACCAUUUGGAUAUAAAAAUGCACCAGGUAGAUAUCAACAUUUUAUGGAUAAUUAUUUUAAACAAUUAUCUAAUUGUAUAGUAUACAUAGAUGAUAUAUUAUUAUACACCAAAACCAAAGAAGAACAUUUAAAAUUAUUAGAACAAUUCACAGAUAUAAUAGAAAAAUCAGGAAUAAGUCUAAGCAAAAAGAAAGCUGAAAUUAUGAAAAACCAGAUAGAAUUUUUAGGAAUACAAAUAGAUAAAAGUGGAGUAAAAAUGCAACAACAUAUAGUACAAAAAAUAAUAAAUUCGAAAGAAGAAUUAGAUACAAAAAAGAAAUUACAAUCAUUUUUAGGAUUAGUAAACCAAGUAAGAGAAUAUAUUCCAAAAUUAGCAGAAACCUUAAAACCACUGCAGAAAAAAUUAAAAAAGGAUAUAGAAUAUAAUUAUGAUGAAAAAGAUAAAAAACAAGUUCAAAAAAUAAAAUUACUUUGUAGAGAAUUACCAAAAUUGCAAUUUCCAGAUGAAAAUAGAAAAUUUAUAUAUAUAGUAGAAGCAGAUGCAAGUGAAUAUAGUUACGGAGGAGUACUUAAAUAUCGAUAUGAAGCAGAAAAAAUAGAACACCAUUGUAGAUACUACUCAGGUACGUUCAACGAGACAGAAAUAAAAUGGGAAAUAAAUAGGAAAGAAUUAUGUUCAUUAUAUAAAUGUUUAUUAGCAUUUGAGCCAUAUAUUGUAUAUAACAAAUUUAUUGUACGAACAGAUAAUACACAGGUACGCUGGUGGUUAACAAAGAAAAUACAAAAUUCAGUUACAACAAAAGAGAUUCGAAGACUAGUUUUAAAUAUAUUAAAUUUCACAUUUACAAUUGAAGUGAUCAGUACUAACAAAAAUGUUAUUGCAGAUUACAUAUCAAGACAAAGCUACACAGACUGAAAUAGUAGAGGAAGAUACUCUAGAAAAAAUACUUAACACCCUAACUACGCUUUCAAUGAAAGUGGACAGUAUGGGUAAUGAGAUAGAAAAGCUAAAGACUAAUGAAGAUAAACUGAAGUCUAUAGCUACAAAUCAGCUAACUCAGCAGUGUGCAGAGCUAUGUCGACCGGAAGACAUUAAAAAUCCAGAGCUAGAAGGAGACGUUGGGACACUCCAUAAAACCCAUAACAUUUAUCAAUCUACUUCUGCAGGUACAAGCAAAGGAGUUAAUAGACCAAGAUACCAGAAUGUAAAUAUGAACAAAAUAUUUGAAAAACCAUUUACCCCAAAAGCACAAAAAGACCAUUUAUUCAUACCCCCACAAGUUAACACAUACCGAGACAGCCUAAACCAAGACAAGAAAAUAUACAACUACACAGCCCAAAAAUACAUAGAAAAUAUAUAUAGAGUCCAAACCUUUCUAAACCAUAACCCCAGAGCUACAAAUAUCCAAGAACCAAAUACCAAUUAUAUAACCCAAAAACUACAAGGAUACAAUAAACUGAUAGCACUACCCAAAACUAACCCAAGCCUAGUUAAAACCUGUUUUGACUAUGGACUACUAAAUACCAUAUACACCCAAGACGGAGAAGAGCUAACAGCUAUGGAGGAAUUAUACAAGAUAUUCACUACCUACAAAAGAAUAAAAAAAGGAAAUUUAUUUUAUAUAAAGUGUUAUACUGCACCAGCAGAGAUAUUAUAUGAUGAAAUAAAACCAGUGAUACAGGUUGUAAAGAUAGGACUGACAAGAGAUAUGAUUAUACCAGAAGAUAUUUCGCAACAACCAGAGAUACCUAGAAUCGAGAUACCAGAUUUUUAUGCAAAUAAAAGACUUAUUGGACUAGCUACGAUCAUACAAGAACUAGCAAAUAACUACGCUAACGGAAAUCCAAUAUGGAGCUACUAUUCAAGAGAUCACCAAAUGAUAUAUUCAAAUUCGAAAGAACUAAGACAAGCAGAUAUGGAAGACGUAAGACAAUGGAUACUGACGCUACUUAACCCAGAAAAACAAUCUACCGCGCGAGCAAUAAGAAAAGGAUUUAUUUCAGACGGACUGCUAACCAGAUACUGUAAGAUAAUCGGACAUAAAUAUCCAGACCACCAAUGUUCGAGGUGCAAUGGAGAAGAUAAUAUUAUUCCAGAGGUACACCUAGAAUAAAGAAGAUAAAAUACCAGCUGGAAGGAUAAGAUAAAGAGCAAUAAUGGAGCAGAUACAGAAGCAAUAAUGGAGCAGAUACAGAACAAUAAUGGAGCAAAUACGACAAAAACCAACGGAGACAAGAUACUGUACAGAAGCAGAAUUAUUAUACNNNNNNNNNNNNNNNNNNNNNNNNNNNNNNNNNNNNNNNNNNNNNNNAGAAAAUUGAAUGUAAAGCUUUACGUGUAAAGUAACUUAGGAAUUUAGGAUAGGUUAGGUGGGAUAGACCCCACUUCUUUAAUUUUCAUUACUCUUUAGACAAAAACAGAGAUGUAAAUUUGUAAGUUCGUUCUAUAAAUACAAAGGACGAAGGUAUUGCGGAAGGCAGGCCGCAAGCCGAAAGCCUUCUUUUGAAACAAACCUUUCUCUCUCCCUUCACAAAAAUUACUCAGGUAAUUAGAUAAAUAUACUCCAAUGGAAAAAGCUAUGGAACAACGAAACUCAGAAAUAUCAAAGCUACCCGAACAGGUAUAUCUAUUUAUGAUUAUGAAUAGCUAAUUUCAUAAUUCCCAACAAUCAUGAUAUGAUAAAAUAAUUCAUAUUAGUUACUUUAUAGUAGAAUUAUUCGAAGAAUAAUAUGUUAAGAAGUUUAUUAACAAAGAGGAAACGGAGAAAUAUCCCUAAGGACUAUGCCAUCCUAAAGGUGAAACCAUUGAGGCAAGAAGCCGUGGCGGGGAGUAACCAGAGUAGAGGCGCUGUUUAAGGGAAAAAGUAUCCGGAUUACCAUGUUAAUAGUGACGGAAGAACAUAUUAUUUAAGAAUAAUCUAGUAUAUAGUAAGUUAAGAUGACCAUAUUUUGUUAUGUACAUGGUUGAAGGGAAUAUUUUGAAAAAAGCAAUUUUAUGAAAAUGAAUGAUUAUUUAUCUGAUGUGAUGGUAGAUAAAUUCAAAAUACUUAUUUUGUAUGCACUUAGAAAUAUAAAAGUAGUAGAUAUAAGAAAAAUCAUAUUAGAAAAAGCUUUUGGUAAAUAUUACAUGACUAGAGUAAAUUAUAUACCAUAUCUACCUAACUACUCUUACAAAUACUUACGAUGAUAAGUUACAUAGAAUUUUUAGAAAAAGAUAUAAGAAACAUACAGUUACUAGAAAAACAGAUAAAAAUAAAUAUAGACAAAUACAUGGAAAAUAAAGAUAUAAAAUACAUAGAAUUUCUUAAUAAAAAUAUGCAAAAACUACUAAGGCUAAAACAAACAACUACAAAAUAUUAUAAUAAAACCAAUUUUAAAAGAUAGAUCAUUUAGAUUAUCUUAAAGUUUUAAUCUUAUAUAUACUUAAAAACAUAGAAAUUAUAGAUAUUAAGAAAAUAAUAUUAGAUAAAGUAAUAGACUACGAAAUUGAAACUACAAAUUGUCUAGAACAGUUAUACGAAGAAAUUUACCCAGAAGGAUAUUAUUCAGAUUAAAAAAUGUUAGAAUAUAUUAGACAAACUAGAGAAAAUCAAGAAAAUCUAAAUAAUGAAAUUAAUUAUAGAAACCGAAUUAGAAAAAUAAUGGAAAAUCUAAAAGAAAAAUUAAUAUGGAUAGAAAAAACCUUAGAAAAUUUAGAUAAAAGUACAUGUGAUAGUCUAUAUAGUUUAAAAAACUCACUACGAGAAGAACAACACAAGAUAAUAAAUAACAUUGAAAAUCUAGAAUUAGAUAUACAUUAUAGCACAGAUAGGAUAAAUUAUUAUACAGAAAUUUGUAACUCUGCAAUUACUACAGGAUAAAAUAAUUAAUGAAUAUAUCUUACGAAAAAAGUAAAUCAUUAAAAGAUAUUGAAACAAAAUUUAAGAAAUAUCCACGCACUAAUAAAAAUAGAUUCACUAGAAACCUAAUGAAUCUAUUAUAUCUAUUAAAUCCGCGCACCCGUCAUUAGUCCACCCUCCAUCAUAAGUGUUGUAUACUUGCAAUAUAAAUCACGACCCUAUAUAUAUAUAUAUAUGUGUGUGUGUGUGUGUGUGUGUGUGUGUGUGUGUGUGUUUUGCACGUGUAACUUGCAUCAAUAAAUAAAACUAUAUGUAAAAAAAUAAAAUAAUUAAAAAUAGCAAUGAUGCUAAUAUAAAUUUAUAUAUAUUCAAAUGAUGUAAAUAAAUAUUGUAUAUCAAAUAUGUCAUUAUUAAAGAUCAUGCUUCAUACAAAUUAAGUAUUCAUUUUGUAUAAUUCAUAUAAAAUUUUUAAAGCGAUUAACUGGAAGAAAUAAAGAAAGAAUGAAAAGAUGAUAAAUAAAUGUCAGAAGAUAAAUAAACGUAGAUAGAGUGCAAAAAUAAAUCAUAUAUGAUGUAAUGAAAAAUUGUAAAAUAACUCACCAUAAAAUAAAAAAGAGAAAGAGACUAUUAAUUAUUCAAUUCUUUCAAAUAAAGUAGGAAUACAUGCAAAAACAACUGAUUUUAAUAUUUUUUCGUUAUCUUUAGGUCUAAACCCUUAGAAAAGGUUUAUAGAUAAAUUCACCAACCAAAAAAUUUAUCCCUUGUAUCAUACCUAUUCGGCUAUUCCUAUGCCCAUAUUAGACGUUUUCUUUUUUAAAACAAAAAAAAAAAAAUCUUUGACAAUUCUUACACUAAUUAAGAAUACUUGUUCUAUUAUUUUAUUUUUUUAGCCACGUCUAUUUUUCUUCUUUUUUUUUUUUUUUGAAAAAAGAAAUUGAGCCAAUUUAAGCUACACCAAGACUACUUAUUGUUCUAUUGUGUUAUAUUUUAUCAUGAUAGUUUGACUCCUAUUUAACACAUUUAUUCUUUUUUUUGUUGUUUUUAUGCAAUUAUAGAAAUCUUUUAUAUAAGGUAAAAUUCUUAUUAAUUCAGAAGUAUUAAAAUUAAGAUUUCUUACUUACAUCAAAUAAGAAUGUUAAUUAAUUUUUAAGUCCUAAAUCUAAAGAUAAUAAUUAAAUGAUACAUAUUUUUUUUUAAAAUAGUGUAUGACUAUUUUGUUAUUGUAAAAACUUUUAUUAAAGGAUAAAAUUAACAGAAAAAUUGUUAGAAAUCAGCAAUUAACAAUAAAAUAAAUUUUAUAUCAUUUAAAUGAUAUAAUGUGUAACCCAAAAAAAGAGAAUCAUUACAAUCUAUUAUUUAAAAUAAAAAUGAUUUACCAGAUCUCAUAAUUUAUUCACAAUUGAAACAGUUACAUAUAAUUAAAUUUUGGAAGAGAAGUCAUAUAAAAUUAGAAUGACUAAUCAAUUUUUCGUGAUGAAAUGUAAUAAUUCAAUGAAUCCGAUAAAAAUUAUAAAUUAGUCAAUUUAAAAUUAUUAAUUACUUAUGUCAUUAUAAACAAAAAUCACAACAAAAAACUUCUCAAUUAGCAAUUAUCUAUCAAGAAUACAUGAUAACUUACUAUUUUCAACUUCAAGAACAUACUAAAUCAUAAAAGAAAAAUUUUCAAUUAGCAAUUGUCUAUCAAAAUACAAGAUAAUUUAUUCUUGUAAAUAUAAAAACAUAUUAAAAUAUAAAAACAUAUUACUUACUUCAAAGCACAAGCAAAUUUAUCUCUUCAAUAGAUCAUACUAUCAAUAUUUUACAAAAAAAAAAUCUCAAUGAGCAAUUGUCUAUCAAAAAUACGUUAAAUUUAUUUUGUUGUAAGCUUCAAAACAUACUAAAAUUCUAGAAAACUUACUUUGAAUGAUAAUCAAAUUUAUCUAUUUAAUCAUAGAUACUAUCAAGAUUUUGACAUCAAGAACAUAUUGACAUUUUAAAAAACUUACCUCAAAUCACAAGCAAUUUGUUUCUUCAAUUAUAAGAUAUAUCAAAAAUUCCCACAAAAUAAAGUGUUUCUCAAUGGGCAGUUGUCUAUCAAGAAUACAUGAUAAUUUAUUUUAUAAAUUCUCAGGACAUAUUAAAAUUUAGAAAACUUGCCUCUAAUCGCAAGCAAAUUUAUCUCUUUAAUAACAUUUAAUAUCAAGAAUGUAAAUAUGAAGAACAUGUUGGGAAAGACAGGGGUACUAUGAAAGAGCCCGGCAGGGUAGCAACGGAAGAAUACCCAAGUCUAAACUUUCCCUUCCAAUUUGAACUAAGAGGAAACAAGAAAAUCAAGCAAAACAAAGUAGUAUGGCAGCAAAUGAAUUACCAUACCAAUACAAUAGGGCAAGAAUAAACGCAAUCACACAAGACACCAAAUUUACGUGGAAAAUUCUUCGGUGUGAAGAGUAAAAAAUCACGGAACCAAACCUCCACUAUAAUCACCAAAUAGUUACAAUAUUAUUCUUCAAAAUGGCCACAAAACAAGUGUCAAACAACAAGAAACAAUACAUAAACCAUAGCACCAAACACUAGAGAAAUAAAGGGGUGAAAGCAUAAAAAACAUAGCUACUGUUCAAAAAUGAAGAAUAGGAGAUAAAGACCACCAAAUCAAGCUCCAUCAGUUCCUAAUCAAAGAUUGAGAUGAGAAGAACAAGCAGUCCAAAAAUCAGCUCAAUCAGACAAGAAACGAAGUAGGAAUCGCAAUUUGAAAUUGACAGCUGGGGUUGGAAUUUAGGUGCGAAAAUUAGCUUUUUUUUUCUCUUUGAAUGCUGAGAACUCUCUUUUUUGUGAUGGUGAAUAAGACCUAAAAGGAUCAAUAUAUAUAUCCUCCAUAGUAAAGGGCCUAUGGGCAAAAGUGGGUUGGUCCAAAUUAGGCUUUAUUUAUCUACAUAGGAAGGAAAAAAAGACCCAAUAACCCAAUAAUUCUCCCCCUCCCAACUAUGUGGAGGAGAUCACUAUCCCGACGAUCAUGCAACAAUCUUCAAACUUUCCUCUUGGCAAAGCUUUAGUCAUCGUGUUGGAACCAUUAUCAUCCAUAUAAAUCUUCUCAAGUUCAAAUAACUUAGAAUCCAACACAUCCCGAAUCCAAUGGUAUCUCACAUCAAUAUGUUUAGACCGACCAUGAAAUAUAGAAUUCUUGCCAAGAUGUAUGGAACUUUGACUGUCGCAAUGAAGCACAUACCUCUCUUGAGCAUAACCAAGUUCUCCCAAGAAUAUCUUCAUCCAAAGCAAUUCUUUACAAGUUACAACGAUAGCAAUAAGCUUAGCUUCUGUAGUAGAUAGAGCAACACAUUUUUUCAACCUAGAUUGCCAAGACACAGCUCCCCCUGUAAAAGUAACUAAAUACCUUGAAGUAGACUUGCGAGUAUCAACAUCACCUACCAUAUCUGAAUCAGUAUAACCACGAAGAAUAGGCUUCCCUGCACCAAAACACAAACUCAAACUAGAAGUGCCACAAAGAUAUAUCAUAAUCCACUUCACAACAUUCCAAUGCUCUCUUUCUGGAUUAAAAAGAAAAUGACUAACAACACCAACGGCAUGAGAAAUAUCCGGUCUUGUGCAAACCAUUGCAUACAUCAAACUAUCAACAGCUGAAGCAUAAGAAAAUUUCCUCAUAUCUUCCUUUUCAUCAUCACUGGAAGGACACUGCUUCAUGCUCAACUUGAAGUGCAUAUCUAAAGGUGUACUGACAACCUUAGCCUUGUUUAUGUUAAACCUUUAAAGUACUUUCUGAAUGUACUUCUCUUAUAAUAACCACAACUUUUUGGCCUUUCUGUCACGGAGAAUAUGCAUGCCAAGAAUCUGCUUUGUUGGUCCUAAUUCUUUUAUAGAAAAAGACUUACUCAACUCUUGCUUCAACUUUUGAAUCCUGCAAGCAUUGUGACCAACAACAAGCAUGUCAUCAACAUAAAGCAACACAACAAUAAACUCACUAUUAGAGAAUUUUUGCACAAAAACACAAUGGUUUGAAGUAGUCUUCUUGAAGCCCUGCUGACUCAUAAAGGAACCAAACUUCCUGUACCACUGCCUAGGAGCUUGUUUCAAACCAUACAAGCUCUUCUUCAAUUUGCAAACAUAAUUCUCUUUUCCCUUGACUUCAAAACCUUUUGAUUACUCCAUAUAAAUUUCUUCAUCUAAGUCACCAUGGAGAAAAGCAGUUUUAACAUCCAUUAGCUCAACCUCUAAAUCUAGACUUGAAGCUAAGCCUAGAACCACACGAAUGGAUGAUAUCUUCACAAUUGGAGAGAAUAUCUCAUCAAAAUCAACUUUUUUUUUCUGGUUAAAUCCCUUCACAACCUAUCUAGCCUUAUACCGUGGAACUGGGUUACCAUCUUCAUGCUUCACCCAAAAAACCCUUUUAUUUUUCAAAGCUUUUAUAUCUUUAGGCAACUUAACCAAAUCAAAGGUAUGAUUAUCAUGCAAAGAUUUAAUUUCAUCUUCAAUAGCAUCAAACCAGUUUUUUUUAUUCUUCAUUUUUUAUGGCCUCAUCAAGACUCUCAGGUUUUCCUCCGUCAGUCAAAAGUACAUACUCAUUGGGAGAAUAAUAAGAUGAAGGUAUUAUCUCUCUAGUAGAUCGUCUGAGAGAACUCUCUAGAACAUCAAUAACUGGUUGUUGAUCAACCACAUCAACUUGCACUGGAGCAUCAACAACAUCAUGCUAGUUAUUCUAAACAUGAUCAUCAUCUUCAUUAUCAACUUGAUUUUCAUCAUCAUGAAGAUUUUCUUCGGGAGUAGUAGUCAAAGGAACUGGAUCAACAUCAACUAGACUCUCACUACUCUGAGAAUCAACCUUCUUAACUUUGUCAAAAUCCUUAAUUGUUUGGUCUUCAAAGAACAUAACAUCACAACUUCUAACAAGUUUUUUCUCAACUAAAUCAUAGAAACGAUAGUCAAAUUCAUCUUGACCAUAACCAAUGAAGAUACACUGUCUAGUUUUAACAUCCAACUUUGACCUUUCAUCCUUAAGAACAUGCACAAAAGCUUUACACCCAAAGACUCUAAGAUGAUCAUAAGAAACAUUCUUACCAGACCAAACUCCACAUCACCAUCCAAAGCAAUAGUAGGAGAUAAAUUGAUAAUAUAAGCAACAGUAUUAAGUGUUUCUGCCCAAAAGGAAUAUGGCAGCUUAGCAUCUGAAAGCAUACAUCUAACCCUCUCAACUAGAGUUUUGUUCAUCCUCUCUACUAAACCAUUCAACUGAGAAGUUUUUGGAGGAGUUUUCUGAUGCCGAAUACCCUACUCUAUGCAAUAUCUAUUGAAAGGACCAAUAUACUCACCACCAUUAUCUGAAUAGAUGUAUUUUAAUUUCUUUCCUGCCUGUCUCUCAAUCAAGGCCUAAAAAUCUUUGAACACAUAAAGUACUGAUUCUUGGACUUUAAAGAAAAUACUCAGAGUUUGCGAGAAUGAUCAUCAAUAAAAGUCACAAGGUAAAGUUCACCACCAUGAAACCUUACUUUAAAAGGACCAUAUAAAUCAGAAUACACCAACUCCAGCAAAUUAAGCUUUCUUGAAGACGGAUGACUCUGAAAAGAAACUCUUUUCUGUUUAUCGGCUAAGCAAUGAACACACUUCUUCAACUUUACUUGUUUUACUCUAGAAAAAAAAAUUCUUAGCCAAACUAUCAAUCCCCUUCUCAUUUAUAUGAAUCAACCUUCUAUGCCACAACUCUGAUAAAGUAUCAUUCUCCACCAAGUUUAUCAAGCCUCUAGAAGUAGAGCCCUGAAAUACGUACAAGUUAGACAACUUGUCACCUCGAGCCACAAUCAUCGAAACUCUAGUAAGCUUCCACUAGCCAGUACCAAGGGUGUUAACAUAACCCUCAUCAUCAAGGUUCCCUACAAAAAUCAAAUUCAAGUGAUCAUCUAGAGCAUGUUUUACAUUAUUGAGAACUAGUUUGGAACCAUUGUUACUUUCCAAACAAACAGUGCCAAUGCCAAGUACUUUAACUUCAUCAUUAUUUCCCAUUUUCAAUAUUUCAAAAUUACCUGGAGUAUAAGAAGAAAAUAACUCCUUCUUUGGCAUAACAUGAGAAGUAGCACCAGAAUCCACAAACCAGCUAGACUUAUCACGAACAAGAUUGAUGGCAUUCUCACCACAAGCAACAAGAUCAUCAUAGCAACAACUACAAUACGAUUUUCAUUAUCGCCUUCGUUCUUUUGUCAUCUCAUAUCUCUCUUAUGCUUGUAAUAAUAAUUCAUGAUAUGCCCUUUUUUGUUAUAAUAGUCACAUGUAACAUUCUUCAAUUUGGACCUCUACUUGCUUCUAAUUUUAUCUCUACCAUUCGAACCUUUGGACUUAUUUCUCUGCUCUCUUCAGUAACCAAAACAUCAGAGUGUGAAGAUGAAGAAUAUAAGGCCUGGGAUUUUUUUUUAUCUCUUCAUUCAAGACACCACUCUUAACAUAUUUCAUAGUUCCAACACCACCGGGAGCAGAAUUAGUCAAAGAAACUCGAAGAGUUUGGCAGGAUAUUAAGAAGCCAAAGUCCUUGAAUUUCUUCAUCGAACUUUACACCCAUUCCUGACAGCUGGUCAAAGACACCCUGAAAAUUAUUUAUAUGAGCAGAAAUAGGAUUUCCCUCUUUAUACCUGAUAUUCAUCAAUUGCUUAAGCAGGAACACCUUGUUAUUGUCAGUCUUCAAAGCAUAAAGUGUUUCGAGCUUGUCCCAUAAACUUCUGGCAUGUGUCUCAUUCACAAUAUAAUUUCUAACAUUAUCUUCAAUCCAUUGUCUGAUAUAACCACGAACCUGUAAGUUCUCAAAUUCCCAAUCCUCAUUUGUCAUGGAUUAAGGUUUAGUAGACGCAAACACAGUAUAUGCAAUUUCUUGACAAAUAGAAGAUCUUUCAUCUUGCCUUUCCAAGUAUGGUAGUUACUACCAUUCAAACACACCAUCUUGCUCAUAUUUGCCUCCAUCAUUCAAAUCAAUAAUCAAUAACAACCAACUCUCUGAUACCACUUUGUUGGGAAAGACAGGGCACUAUGAAAGAGCCCGACAGGGUAGCAGCGGAAGAAUACCCAAGUCUACACUUUCCCUUCCAAUUUGAACUAAGAGAAGACAAUCAAAUCAAGCAAACAAAGUAAUAUGGCAACAAAUGAAUUACCACACAAAUACGAUAGGACAAGAAUAAAGGCAAUCACACAAGACACCAAAUUGACAUGGAAAACCCUUCGAUGUGAAGAGUAAAAAACCACGGGACCAAACCUCUACUAUAAUCACCAAAUAGUUUUAAUAUUGUUUUCUAAAAUUUCCAUAAAAUAAUUUCCAAACAACAAGAAAUAAUAUAUAAACCACAGCACCAAACACUAGAGAAAUAAAGGAGUGAAAGCACAAAAAAUACAGCUACUAUUAGGGAAUGAAUAACAGGAGCUACAGGCCACCAAAUCAAGCUCCGUUAGUUCCUAAUUAAAUAUUGAGAUGAGAUUAAUAAGCAUUCCAAAAAUCAACUCAAUCGGAUAGGAAACGAAGCAGGAAUCGCAAUUUGAAAUUGACAGCUGUGGCUGGAAUUUAGGUGCGAAAAUCAGCUUUUUUUUCUCUUUGACUGCUGAAAACUUUCUUUUUGUGAUGGUGAAUAAGACCUAAAAGGAUCAAUAUAUAUGCCCCAUAGUAAAGGACUUAUGGACAAAAGUGGGUUGGUCCAAAUUGGACUUUAUUUAUCCACAUAGGAAGGAAAAAAAACCCAAUAGCCCAACAGAACAUGCUAAAACAUUAAAAAAAAAUUACCUCAAAUCACAAGCAAAUUUAUUUGUUCAAUCAUAAGAGUUAUCAAAAUUUUACACACACAAAAAAAAAACUUUCAAUGAGCAACUGUUUUUCAAGAAUACAUGAUAAUUGUUAUAAAAUAAUAAAGAAUAAAGAACAAGAGUAGAGAGAGAAGAGAGAGUAAUUAUUAUUUCUCUUGAUGGAUGAUUUACAAUGGAGAAAAUCUCUUUAUUUAUAGGGAAAAACUAACCUUGGAGUUUGUAACUUUUCCAUAAAUAGGCAUACACAAUAUAUGGUAAAGUAGGUGUUCACUAUAUAUAGUAAAGGAGACAUUCACUAUAUAUGAUAUAUUAUAACACUCCUCCUUGAAUGUCUAAUUGAUAGACAAUACGCAUAUAUGCUGCCACAUUAAAAACCUUACAAGGAAAAUCCAGUGGGAUUAAACCUCAUAAAGAAAAAGAGUACAACGCGUAUUAACUUCCCCUAAUGAGAACAUCCUUGAACCUUUGCAUUCUGAUCUUGUACACCAUCUUCUUGGAAGUUGAAAUUGAAGGAGACUUGGUGAAUAAAUCUGUCACAUUAUCACUUGAACGAAUCUGUUGCAUGUUAAUAUCACCAUUCUUUUGGAGCUCAUGUAUGUAGAAAAGCUUUGAUGAAAUGUGCUUCGUUUUAUCUUCUUUUAUGGAUCCUUCCUUAAGUUGUGCUAUGCAUGUUGUAUUAUCUUCAUAUAAGAUUGUGGGUAUAUUGUCACAUUUCAAACAAUAUUUUUCUCGAAUGAGAUGUAUCAUGCCUCAACCAUACACAUUCUCGGCUUGCUUCAUAAAUAACUAUUAUCUCAACAUGGUUCCAUGAAGUGGCUACGAUAGACUAUUUUGUAUAUCUCUAAGAUAUUGCAGUACCACCACAUAUGAACACAUAGCCUAUUUGAGAUCGAGGUUUAUAUAGGUUAGAUAAGUACCCAACAUCAACAUGAUCAAUAAGAUCGGGACUACAAACUUGCUAAUAAAUUAACUGAAAAAGGCUAUAUCAGGCCUUAUAGUAUUUACAAGAUACACGAAUGCAUCAAUUGCACUAAGAUAUGGUACUUCAUAAUCAAGGAGUUCCUCAUUCUUUUCUUGAGGUCGGAAUGGAUCCUUAUUCAAUUUUGCAUGUUUCUCAUUUAAACAUAAAUUCUAUUGCUUUUGAAACUCUCCAAGAGUUCCAAUGAUACUCAAACCAUCAAAUUAUCUCUUAUGAGGAUAAUAAAAAGUUUCCCAGAAACUUUACAGGCAUUUUGAAUCCUUUAGAGAUUUUCAUAUGGAUUUUUGUCAAGUGACAAUAUCCAACUUGUUAAGUGUGACAUCUUCAAGUGUCUGGACUGUAAAUCAAAUAAGUUUUAUACUUACGAAAAUGCAUCCUUUCAUGUCACUUGAUAAAUAUUUCAACGCCAGCAUGCUUAAAUAAACGUAGAAUUCGGAUCCUCGUAAUACUUUAUAAUAUUGCGUCAUUGUUUCAAAGAUAUUUUCAAUGAUAUAUCAUUUUGUAUCGGUUCACAAUGUGACAUAACAUUUUGAGAUCUCAUCACUUUAUUAUUUUCAGGUACCUGAACCUCUCAUAGGUUUCAUGAAGUGUUAUGUCGUAGGCUCUUCAAGAGCACAUUGCCUUCUUAUUAUGAUUAUUUACUCCUUAUCCUUUUCAAGAAUUAUUUCAUUUAGAACCAAUUAGUCUACCAUGCUUCAUGCAUGCAUAGAUUUUGUCCUUUAAAAAUGCAAAAUAGAAGCACUUGCAGCUUAGAUAAGUGAUUAAAUGUGAGUCAGUAAAUGCUUCCGGCAUAUGACUUGAAUUAUCUUUUGAAUGAGGAUAUGAUGAUAAUUCCUAACAUAUUUCAUAACUGCUUGUAAUCUCCCCCAUAUGUUAGGAAAACUAACAUACAUCCUCCAUCUUUUUUUAGGAAUACAUCUUUGUACAUAAUGGUAUAUUUAUUAAUUGUAUACCGCACAUCAAAACUAAUAGAUGAAAUAGUUGGUUCCUGACCUUGAACCAAUUGAGAGGGAAGAAAUAAUCAUAAUUUAUUGGUCUAAUGCAUGCAAGUCUUAUUGUAUACAACAUAUCGUAUUUCAGACCAACAUAUGAAGCUUUGUUCUCAUCAGCAAUGGUUUAGCUAUUUAUUGAAGGUAUUCAAUGCCAAACCAUUUUCAUCAAGAUGAAUUGUCUUGAUUGCACAAUAUGAAAGUUGUGUUCUUAACUCAAUUUUAUUGAGCAAACAACUUUAUGAAUGUCAAGCUAUGGGUUGACAAUAAAUGUACAUGUAAUUAUCUUAUUGAUGCAUCUUUUCAACAUAUCACAUGAAAGGUAAACGGGCCCUUAUUCACCUUUUAUAUUUUUCAGAUUUUGAGAGAUCCAAUCCAAUAAUUAGUUGGUUCAACCAACUUAUCAUGAGAACAAACAACAUGAAUAAUUCUUGAAGAAUUUUCUAAUUCUUCAUUACAUGUCCAAUACUCAAUAUGCACAUCUUCGGGUUGUCAUAAUCGUUCAUGUCAACUUAUGAAAUUUUAUUCUAGCAAACUCCAAGUUUACCAUGAUAUGUACCUUUUUACUUUAGUAAAUUUCAGAUUUACUAUUACAUGAAUAAAUUUUAGAUUUACUACUUUAGAAGUAGAUUUCAAAAUAACUCUUCUCGAUUAUUCUGCCUCAUUCGGAGGUGAGUUGUGAAGCCAUCACAAUUAAGUUCACGUUUGUUGAUAAGUUUCACUAAAUAUCAUAACAUUCACCGAGGAAAUGGAUCUAUGCUUAUAACAAUUAAAAUUCUCAUUCCCAUGAAUGAAAUAUAAUCUUGUCUUAAGCCUAUCAAAUUGAUAGCUUAUAACCUCUUUUAUGAUAUUGCUACUUUAGGAGAAGAUUGAGGCAUACAUAUGAUCUAGAGAAGUUUUCUCUAACAUAUCUUAUGAUCAUAAUACGAUGUGAAAAUAUCAUCACUUUUGGUGAUCAUUAUCAUAUUGUCCCUCCACACGUAUAUUCGUGUAUUCAAUCAUUUGUCUUCUUUCAGACAUAUUAUGCACUGCUAUAUAUACACUUCAAGAAUAAAGUAAGUUGUCAUAUUUCACAUUUAUCAUAUAUUGCUACCACAUUCACUUCAUGGAAUGAAGCAUAUUCAAUGGGACAUAUUUCAUGACUUUUCAUUAAAAACACAUUAUUUUGUCUUAGCCAUCAUAAUAUCAUUAAUAUGGUGCAUUGAGAUUCAAACUCAAUGUAUUAUCCAUAUAAAGGUGUCUUAGGCAUAAAUCGAUGAGACUUGACCCAUGCAUGCAUUCAUAUCAUGCUUUUGGGAGGAUGACCAUCUUCAAGUGGUCAAAUCUUUCUUUUAGGUUAUUCCACAAAACAAGUGGAUUCUUAGUAGUAAGGUAUUUAAUUUUCAGAAUUUCGUCAAGAUGAUGACGUAAUAAAAUCAUAGCCUUAGCACGAUUUUAAUGAGAUACUGUAUUUUUUUUUCCUUUAUGGCAUCUCCAAGACCCAUAACAUCUAAGUGGAUUUCAGCAUUUAAUACUCAUUAAAGGUAGUUCUUGCUCGAGGCAACGAACUCAGAUUUUGUAAGAUUAUUAGCAAUAUGAAAAGAAAGAAAAUAAUACCUUAGCCUUCAAAUUUGAUACGGCAGAGUCUCGUGCUGAUAACGUAUUAUAAAAUAAUAAAGAACAAGAGUAAAGAGAGAAGAAAGAGUAAUUGUUAUUUCUCUUGAUGGAUGAUUUACUAUGAGGGAAAACUCCUUUAUUUAUAGGGGAAAACUAACUUUGAGGUUUGUAACUUUUCCAUAAAUAGACAUACACAAUAUAUGGUAAAGUAGAUAUUCACUAUAUAUGGUAAAGUAGACAUUCAUUAUAUACGGUACAUUUAUAACAAUAACUUAUUUAUUAUAAAUUUCAAAAACAUACUAAAAUACUAAAAAUCUUACCUCAAAUCACAUGAAAAUUUAUAUACAUUAGUAAGAAAAUUCUAUGUCUAAACCUAUUUUUUUUCUGCAUGUGAUAGUUUUGGAGAAAAACAUCUAAACCUAAAUAUAAAAGAACAACUAUCAUCAAUUAAUUAAAAAAGAAUCCUAAUGUUACAGUGAUUCAAAAGUUAAACAAAAUUCGAUUAAAAUUUAAAGCCUUCCGAAUUUUUUCACGCAUGUUAAGGUUCUCCUUCCUUUUUUUUUUUUGUGUUUUUUUGGCCAACUUUCAAGUUUAUAUUACAUUUAGGUCUUUUUUUUUUCCUUUUUUUCUAGAAUAUUAUAUUUUGUUUACAACCGUGUGUUUUAUUAUGCAUGUUUUUCCCCUCUAUAUUUUAGGAAUCCUUUUUUAAGUACACAAGGAAAAAAAAAAAUCUAUCAAUAUUAAUUUUCCAUAUAUUUUUUUCUUACCAUAUACUGUAGGAUGCCUUUUAAAUAUUAUAAAUAUAAUGAUAUAAUAAUUUAGAGAAAAAAAAAAGUGAAAAGACAAUUUUGUCUAUUGCAGAGAGUUUUAAGGACACAAAGUUCAAAUCACUUUUCUAAGAGCUUCACACUUUUAAUAUAUUAUAGAUUAUAGAUAUAGAUUAUAGAUAUAGAAUAGAUAUGGAUUAUAAAUUAUAAAUAUAGAUUAUAGAUUAUAGAUUAUAGAUUAUAGAUAUAGAAUAUAUAUCUAUAUAGAUCUAUAUAUAUAUACACACACACAUCAAUACACAACUUUAAAUUAAAUAAAAAGGGUAGUUUGAUGCACUAAGCUUCCAAUAUGUGAGAGCGGUCUGCGGAAAGACGAUUGAACAUUAAGGGUUUAAUAUAUGCAGUUUUAGCCUGCAUUUCUGUAAGAGAUUAUUUCAAUUUGUAGCUCAAAUCUGUAAUAUCUGAUCACAUGACAACAACUUUACCAAUUUAGUUUGAAAUAGCACCCAAUGAGUACCAAAUGUGGUCCGCUAAUGAGUACACUCCAAGUUAAAGUCUCUCUCACAGUCUAUUAUAGUCAUUGAGAAAGACGUCUACUUCAUCUUUGUUGCACACGUAUAGUAAUUACAAAUAUUUGGAUAAAGGAAACACUAUAGUCUCUCUACACAUUUGUAGUGUAGUGAAAACAUUAAUUAUAUUUAUACUAUUAUUCACUAGAGAAGCCACCAUAUUUUAUAUAUGUAUAUAUAUAGAUGAAGAUUGUGCAACUUAUUUAGUGGUGAGAGGGACACAUAUAGGGAUGGGCCAUCACUGCUGCAGCAAACAAAAAGUUAAAAGAGGUCUUUGGUCUCCAGAAGAAGAUGAAAAACUCAUUAGACAUAUCACCACCCAUGGUCAUGGCUGCUGGAGUUCUGUUCCAAAACUAGCAGGUUCAAUUUUAUUUUUGGAUAAUUUUUUUGUGACGCAAUGCCUGACGCCCAGGCAGACGUGCCAUCGGCCUAUAUACACAUAAUUUCUCAUACUUUUUUCUCUUUGUUCUUUAUUGGAGAAUUUUUAUUUUGUGAUUGACGUUCUGAAAUUAUGUGAUCGCUUCAUCUCAAAAGAUUAAACAGCUGCCAGAGAGAAAACAUAGUUAUUUGCUUUAAUAUAUCUUUGACAUUGCCUCUCACGUGCCGCCUGAUUCUUUUUUCAUGAGCCAAACAUCUUAAUUUUCUAGUAACUAAUUGUAGCAAAAACACUUGAAAUGAGAGAUGCGACUGUCAAUUAUCCGGUCAACAUACUCAUACAAUGAUUUUCAGAAGAUGAAGAAAGAGAGAGUGCGCUUACAGCUUCUCUCCUAUGAUAAAACGAUAACUAGCUCCGACCUACAAAGGAGGUCGUUAGACCUUUUUUAAUUACAAUGUGUGACCGUGAGACUUGAAUUCAGGCUUUCUUUCUGAUCUGAUAUAUACUAUUUCGUUAAGUUAUUAGAAAUCGUAUAUUUUUAUUUACAUUAUUAUAUUUUCAAACCUUUUGUAGGACUGCAAAGAUGUGGAAAGAGUUGUAGAUUGAGAUGGAUAAAUUACUUGAGGCCAGACUUAAGAAGGGGUUCAUUUACUGAACAAGAAGAAAGAACAAUUAUUGAUGUUCAUAGAAUCUUGGGAAAUAGAUGGGCACAAAUAGCGAAACAUUUACCAGGUAGGACAGACAAUGAAGUGAAGAAUUUUUGGAAUUCUUGCAUCAAGAAGAAACUUAUUGCUCAAGGGUUAGAUCCAAAUACCCACAACCUCCUCAAGAACAAAUCUAACAAUCCAACCAAAAAAUCCGACUACACUUAUCAUCAUCAAGAUUCCACCUCAGUUUUCACCAUUGAUACUUCAACAAAUAAAGAAGUAAUUUCAAUGGAUUUAAAAUCAACUCUUGCAACCUUAUCUCCUAAUUUCCCUCCUAGUGAUAAUAUUAUUACUUCUAGUACAUACAAUUACACUCCUAUUGUUCCUAACAUUGAAUACCAAAACCCUACUUUCGCAUGGAGUGAGGAGAGAAAUCAGAGUACACUAACCAUGCUUCAGUCCCAAACAAGUGAGAGAAAUCUCGUUACUACUCGAGAUUCCAUUUUGGAUUUCGCGAGUAAUUGUUCUUUAAUGGAAAGCACGACGAAUAUUAAUGUGUCAUCUUAUAUAAAUGAGAAUAGAAUGUGGAAUGGAACUGGACUUGAACCAACAACAUUAAAUCCUGUCAAUGGACAAGAAGAAGAAAUGCAAGUACAAUUACAAGGAGAUCAACAAUUUCCAAUUAUUCAGACCAAGUUUUGUCAUGAUCAAGAAGAUGUGUACAAGGUUAAUGAUCAUGAUCAAACAGUGGAAAAUACAUUUGACGACAACUCUAACUUUGAUUUUGAGUUUAUGAAUUCUGCAUUUGUGCCUUGUGGAUUGUACACUAAUGAUAAUUCUAUGGAUCAACUUUCAUGGGAUUGUUAGUGUAUUUUUUUCUAGUUUCCUAGUAUAUCUUUCUUGCAUGUUUAUUUUGCACUACACCUUGUUGGGGAAAAGAGGAAAUUGGUAGUUGUAGCUUUAUGUCAAAAUCAUGAUUAUUUUGAAAAGAUCAAUUCAUGUUUAACUUGUAGAAAUGAAAAAGAAAAAACAUAAUUAUAUUACAAUGUCUGAUGUAACUUGUCAUGAUUCCUUUGUAUUAGUGGUGAGGUCCAAUAGAAACAUUCACCAAUAGAAUUAAUGUUAAUUCAAUAUUUUCUUAGUUUGAUUUUACCUGACACAUUUACUUUUUCUAAUUCAUUUAAAAAGAUGACACGUGAUUCUGUAAUUAUUUUUACAUUUUCUAUUCCCAUAUAUUUAAUGAGAAGCUUUUAUAACCAUACAAAUCAAUACCAUCAUAAUAUUAAAAACUAGAGUAAUUUUUCUAGUUCUCACACAUCGAAAUAGAAGGCAACUUCCAGGUGCUUACUCCAAUAUAAAAGCCAACAGCCAAUAUGCAACUUCUCCCACGCAGCCACGGUGAGCUCAAAGCGAACUAUUUUUUCGUCUUUUACUGAAUAACAUCCUGUGCUCGUCGCAAUUAGUGACAUAUGUCUAUUUUUGGAAGGGUUCUCUUUGUGGAGUUACCCCAACAAUUCUACGUAUAAAAAUUUUAACUUUGUUAUAUAAUUUUAACAACUUACAUAUUCAAGUUAAUAAAGUUAGAAUAAUGAUGAAUCAAAUCUCUAUGAUAACAUUGUUUGUUUGGGUGUUGUAGCAAAAGAGUUAUUACAACGAACAUCUAAUUAUGGUUAUUAUAAUUAACAUAGCCAUUGCUUUUUUUUUUUUUUUUUUGGGGGGGGGGGGGGGGGGUCGCUUAAUUUUGCUUUGGUUCCGUGUUUGUUUGGCUGUUAUAGCAAAGUGUUUUUACAGCAAACAUAUAAUAGCAUUAUCGUUAUUAUAAUUAGCAUAGCCUGAUCGGUUCCACGAAAAAUGUGACUAUGCUCAAAAGUUGAUUUAUCAUGUUUAUUUCUCUUUUCUAUAUAUGAUAAACUCCUUGUAUCGCCAACUAAUUCACAUGUGUAGUCUUAAUUUGAAACAACCUUAUCUAAGUGAAAAUAUUUAUUUCAUUAAAUAUACUUACAUAGAUAGAGAGCUUAAAUGUGUAAUGUAUAUACAAAUCGACUCAUCAUCAUGAAAAGCUCAAGAUCUUUUAAAGUUUCUAUUGAUUCUCUCUGAAUCUUAACUAUUUUUCUUAUGAUAUGAUGUUCAAAGUUUGUCAUGAGGUUUGCUUUGAAUACCAUAGUUUUUUCUCGCAAAUCAAUAAUAUUCUCCUUCCCUACCCAAAUUAUGUUUCUUCACAGCAUCUCUUAAUUGUUUAUGAGAAUUGAGGAAUAUGUGAACCAAUUUAAGAGAAAAUUAAGAUUAAAAAGGUUUUAUAAUUAUGUUAUAUAGUUUAAUUAGGGAAAAUAAUUUAUUUAAGAUAAAGUUGUUCAUAAUUAUUAGGAUUCCCUACCUAAUUCAAUAAGAAAAUUAAUAAUCAAAAUUUUAAUUAACUUCAAAAUAUUAAAUAUUAUGAAUAAAUUUUCUUUGUUGAAAAACUUAAUUUCUAUAUUGGAAUUGCAAUAAUUACAUUGCUUAAGCCUAUUAUGAACUUUCCAUAUAUAGUAUUGUAUAUUGUACUUAUGCAAAUCAAAGUGACCAAUAUACAAUAUGGUUAUAUAAUGUGGAUUCGUGUGCCAUAUUCGGAAAUAAGUCAAUAGUUUUUAUUAUAUAAAAAAGCUUUUUACUAUAUAUACACAUUGGAAAAGUUCUAUUAUUUCUUGUGAGUAAAUUGAGAAACUUUGCAAUUAAAGGGAAAAAGAAUUAAAAGGGGUUAGAGUACAUAUACUUUGUUAAAAAUAUAAUUAAAUGUCUUUUUCUUUUAUAUUUUAUCAUAUAUUCUUCUCUUAUCUUUAUUUUAGGACUCUAUAAUUUUUGAAAUAUUUUUCUUUUACCGUAUAAUUUAAGAUUUCUUAAUUAAACAUUAUAAAAAUAAUAAAUAAUACUUUAAGAUAAAUAGGUGAAAAGAUAAUUUUGUCUAUAGUAAAGUAUUUUAAUAAAGGGAAAAAAGUUCAAAUCACUUUUCUAAAGGUCUUCACACUUUUCAUAUUACUAGUUUAGGAUACGCGUCCCGUGCGUGUACCUCGUUUCAGUGAAUUCAGUUUUAUAAAAUAACUUUGAUACUACAAAAAAAAAAAAUUGUUGCAAUUGUUUUAGCCAUUAUAGUAGAUUUUUGUCUUUAAAUUUAAUAUUUAUUUAAAUGAUAUAGCUUGUACCUAAAAAGGAAUAUUAAAAUAAUGACGAUAUGCAUUUACUGACAAUUGAAACAAUUGCAUAGUAUUAAAUUUUAAAAGAGAAUUAAUAUAGAAUUAGAAUGACUAACCAAUUUAUUGUGAUGAAAUUUAAUAUCCAACAAAUCUGGUCAAAAUUUUUAAAUAAGUCAAUAUGAACAAAAAUCUUAAUCAAUAAUUAUCUAUCGAGAAUACAUGAUAAUUUGCUAUUUUAAACUUCAAAAACAUACUAAAAUUACUAAAGAAAACUUCUCAAUUAGCAAAUGUCAAUUAAAAUGUAUGAUAAUUUAUUUUUAUAAACAUAAAAAAUAUACUAAAAUCUUAGAAAACUUACCUCAAAUCACAAACUAAUUUAUCUCUUCAAUCAUGACUAUUCUCAAUAUAAACUUGUUAAUUAACAAUUAUCCAUCAUAAAUAUAUGAUAGUCUAUUAUUGUAAACUUCAAGAACGUAUAUAAAAUUUUAAAACUUAUAUCAAAUCAUAAAAAAAAUUAUCUCUUUAAUCAUAGAUACAUCAAGAUUGUAAACAUUAAGAAUAUACUAAAAACUUUAGAAAACUUACCUCAAAUCACCAACAAAAUUUUCUCUACAAUCAUAAAAUAUCUCAAAUUUCACAUACACACAAAAAAACAACCUCUCAAUUAGCAAUUGUUAUCAAGAAUACAUGAUAAUUUGUUCAUUUUACACUUCAAGAAUAUACUAAUACUAAAAUUCUUAAAAAAGCUUACCUCAAAUAGCAAGUAGAUUUAUCUUUUUAAUCAUAGAUACUAUCAAGAUUUCAAUUAGUAAGAAAAUUUUAUAGAAUAAUGUAAACAAAGAGAGACAACUACCAUUAAUUAAUUACUUAAAGAAAUCCUUAGUUAAAAGUGAUUCAAACCUAAACAAUCUAAAACUUAAUAGCAGUUUAGGUUUUAUAAAAAGCAUGAUUUUUUGAUUUAUAAGGAAACUUUUCCUUAAAAAAAGAAAGAACUUUUAAAAAAAAAAAAAAAUACUUUAGGACAGUUAGGUUUUAUUUUGGGAAACUUAAGGAUUUUUUUCCUUCAAAAUUUAACAAAACGUGUCUUCAGUUUUUUUUUUUUUUCAAAAAUUUAAAUAAGGUGUUUUUUUUUUGUAACUUUAUGGUCGUUAAUUUCUUUUUGUGUUUUUUAAGGAAAAUUUUUUAAAAGAUAUUUUUCUUUUAUAUAUAGGACUCUUUAAUUUUAAAUAUUAUAAUAUAAUGAUAUAAUAAUUGAAGAAAAAUUAUAAAAUGAUGAUUUUGUCUAAAGCAUAAACUUUUAAUGAAGGGUAAAAAGUUCAAAUCACUUUUCUAAGAGUUUUCACACUUUUAAUAUAUUAUUGAUAUAGAUUAGAUUAUGUCUGCUUCAGCUGCUUCAAUCAUAAUUUUAUUGUAUCAUCCCUAAUUAAUUAUUAUAUCUAUAAUUAAAUAUUAUAUAAGUCAUUUACAUAUUAAAAAAUUAAUAAUAUUUAAUUAGAAAAAGUAAAAUAAACAUUUAUGUGUAUUUCAUCUGUUUUAAUCGUAAUUUUACUAUAUCACCAUUAAUUGAUUAUUAUACAAGUAUUUUUUAUAAUAAUUUUUUUAUGACGCUUCUAAAUAGUUAUUACAAGUCACUUAAGACAUGUGUGCUUCAUUGUUUUCAUCAUAAUUUUACUAUAUUAGCCCUAAUUAAUUAUUAUGAUCAUCUAAGUAUUGAAAAAUUGAUAAUAUUUCAUAAAAAAAAAGGAUAAAAGAGACACAAAAUGAUAUAUAUCAACAUAAAAAAUUUAAUUGACUAUCGAAAUUAUAUUAGUGAAUAUAAAUUAGGAUGGGACAGAGCAAGACAUAAAAUAACAUAUAUUAUUUUAAAAUGAAAUAAAAAGUAUUAUAAAUCACAAUAAUUAAGAACUUAAUAUAAAAGUAUAUAUCUACAAAAAUUUUGAUUGACUGUCAAAAUUUUAUCUGUGCUACAUAAAUUGAGAUAGGGAAAAUAUUGAUAUAUCUGGACCUUAGAAAAUUCCCUGGAAUUCUGAUCUCUGGACCUAAUACGACUCAUGGAUACGAGCAGUAUGUUGGGGUACGUAUGGUAUGAUCUGGUCGUAUACUGACCAGUGUUGGUUGGUGGGUUGGAUUUUGGUUACUAAAAUGGAUACGACUUAGGGGUACGAGUCAUAUUGGCGGUUACAUAUCAUUUGGCUCCUUAACUUAAUCUUAGACUUAGUUACUUAAGUUGGAUCUAAAUAUGAGUGGCGCACCAUGAUCCGUAAGCCAGGGUACGAAUCAUACCAGGGACUCGUAUGGUAGACAGUGUUUAAUCUCCAGGUAUUUUAUUCUGCCAAGGAUAUGGGUCAUGGAUAUGGAUCGUAUGUUGUGGUUACGAAUUGGUUGGACAAGUCAUAUACUAGACAAUGUUUGGUCCAAAGGUGGAGGUUCAGGAUGCGAGUGGUGGAUACAAAUCGUAUGGGAGGAUACGACUCGUGAGGGUCAGUUGUAUCCCUAUGCCAGAUUUUUGUGCAACUUAAGUUGGGAUAUUUUGGACAUUUCUCCACUUAUCAUAAUAGGUUCUCACGACUUCUAACCUACUUGAAAGGCUAUUUACCUUAUUAUUCUAUUCAUUAAUACUUAGAAAAUCUUCCUAAACACUUCAUUAUUCUCUCAAGAGCUUUUGGCAAGGGGAUCUAGGGUUUCAACUAAUGGAUCAAUUUUGGGGCUUGUCUUGGUGAUUUAUUUCCUUCAUCAUCUUAGUUUAAGGUAUGUUCUCUUUCCUCAUUGUUAAUUUAACUUAAAGGCAUGGUUUAUAUGAAUGUUUUCAUAGUUUUACUAUUACAUGAUUUUGGCUUUCAAAUAUGAUUUGGGGGUUUUGAAGUUAAAUGGUUGGUUAUGAUUUCCUAUGGUUUUAAUUAUGCUUUUAUAUUCAUUAAUGAUGGUUUUGGAUAAUUGGAUUGAAUGGAAGAUUUUAUUGGUAAUUGGAAUUGGUUUUGGUCAUAUUAUGCCCCAUAUAUGUUUGACAAAAUGCUUAUAAAGAUAUGCUUAUUGUAUUGACUUCUUUUAAUAGAACUCUUGCAUGUUUUAAACUUGGUAAAGGAAUUAUGCAUGGUUUAAAUGGAUUGGAAUGGUAAAUAUCUACUGGUUAUGGUUGUGAGGACAUGAAAGUCUCCCAAGUGGUUUGAUAUGGUAAAUGGAAGGGCACUUGAAAGUCCCCUUAAACCUAUAAAUGGUUGGUUAUAGAUGACACUUGCAAGUAAGGGUUGGUAUGACGAUAUCAAUAUUAAUGGCCGAUAUCAAUAUUAAUGGCCUUGGUUAAUAAAUAGAUAAUGGUUUGGUUAUUUGAAAACUGGUUUCAAUUGGGCAAUAUUGGCGGGAUGUGUAGCAAAGGUAUGGAAAGUGAAGGUCCGGGGGGACUAAAACUAGAAAUUUAUAUUUGCCGCUAUGAGGUCGGUCUUGGUGACUGUGUGCAUGAUGUCACACUAUAUUUAGGGGAUGUACUAGUCAUCCCAAGGGAUACUUCCUUAUAUAUAUAUAUAUAUAUGUUUGGUUGUUUGCAUAUGGAUGGUUUUACUUGGUUUUAUGAAUGGCAUUAUUUUAUCCUUACCCUGAGAUCAUGCUAGCGGUCACUAGGUAACCCCAUCUACUGGCGGUUAUAUAUACACACUAUGCAGGAACCGACCGUUCUACUCUUCCUACUUAGUGAUUGACUCAGGAAUAAUAUUUGGACUGAAGUAGUGAGCUUUCAUCCUUUCGGAAGGAUCCAUUUCAUGUUAUGGAUAUUAUUAAACAUUUUGGUUUUAUUUGGGAUAUUAGCUUUGGCUAUGGUUGGGGGCAUGUCCCAACCGGAUUUUAUUACUCUUUUGGUUAGAGGCUUUGUGGUAUGUCUAUGGGUUGGAAUGGGCGAGAUCGGUAUAGGUGUCAGCCUUGGCAUUGGAAUAGGCUGGGAGACUGGCAUCAUUGGACAUAAUUUCUCACUGUUCCAUCAUAUUUCAUUUUGGAAUUAAUUAUAUUAUGUUUUGGAACGUCUUUGGUUAUGGCAUAGUUUAUGGCCCUUGUUUGGUAUGGUUUGACAUGUUUGGAUUUUUGGUUAUGGAAUGGUUGGACUCGGUUGGGUUGGUCACGAUUGUGAUCUAUUUCCAGAGGCUUUAUGUGGGUUGUUACACUAUUUUGUUACAUGCUCGAAAUUCAUCCAACUCAGGGCAGGAGGCUGGAGGUUGGGUUGUGUAACGGCGGUGGUCUUCGAUCCCGAUUGGACUUGGGACACCCAUUACGAUAAGUCCCCAGGGCGGGUCGUGUCAGUUAUUAGGCAUAUAAAACUCACAACUUGAAUCCUCCUAAAAUGACCUUAAAAAUCCAUCAAUAAAAUCACUUUCAAUUCGCCCUAACUUUAUACAAAAAUCCAUUAAGUCAUUGGCCAAUUCACAUUGACCACGUUUCUCUUACAAAUCAUUUUUUCUCGCACUUAAUUAUAGUUAGAGUUGCCCAAAUAUUCUACUAAUGGUAAGAAUUUGUUAUCUUUCAAAGAACUUUAUAAAUAAGUAUUUUAGGAUGUUUAUUCACCGAUCUCUUUAAAUGACUUAGUUCAUUUUGAUAGAAAUUCUGUUUUCCCCAUCUAAUUCAAAACCCAUCAAAUGGUCAAAGUUCGGAUCACUCGAUCACUCGUUAAAAGUGUCCUAUUCUUCAAAUUAUGGACUAUUUUCUUUUGAGCCAAACAAAUUUUAUUCAUUUUAUAUGUUACUUUGAUGAAUUAUUACAAUUCAUGAACUAACAUGUUCACUUUUCUAGUAUUUUUAUUUUCUAUUAGAGAGAGGUUUAUUUGUAUUGGUAAUCAAGCUUGCUCUCUUCAUAAAGACUAAAAGCAAAUCAAUUUCAAAGUAAUUGCUAGUAGAACAUCAGCAUUUCACACGAUCUAAAGUCAAGAAAGCAACUAUAGACUUAUCAGUUCUUACUUCGGAUAAUAGAAGGUCUCGUUCAACUAUGGAUCCUAGUUUGAUCAGCACAAAUACUUCAUCCAAGUCAGUCCCCACCUUCUCUGAGGUAAUGGACCCUAGUGCCUCGAUAGGAAGAGAAAUAAUCCAUAGGUCGUUGAUGGAUUGGAACAAAAAAUUGACGAGCUAAGACUGACGGUCAUGCAAUGUAUAACACCUUCUCAGACUCCCCCAAACAUGACUUUGCCUCCUGAUACUCGACAAAAAGGGCUUAUGUUUCCAACACCAUAAGGAGUUGAUCAGGGAGGUCAUUUUACCACUUCUCAAAAUGAUCAUACUUCUUAGAAUGCUUCUUUUGAGUACACAUUUUCUCCUCCGAAGGUUCAUAACAUACCAUUAUCACCCCAUGCUCCGCCAAUGUACACCUAUGCUACCGACCUAUCAGCGGCACAAACUCAAAGGUUAUACCGUUUAGAUGCUAAUCAUUAUGUUAAAGCAGGGAAUGAUCCAAGAAUGUAAAUCAAUAAAAUAGUGAAUAAAAUCUCAAGAUCUUGAAAGAUGCAAUGAGAAUUCUUUGGGGUCUUGGGAGUAACCAAAAGUGUGAAGUAUGAAGAGUUGUGUGUAUUUUCCGAGAUUAAGUUGCCUCCUAGUUACAAGAUCCCAAAAUUUGAAAAGCUUGAUGUUUCCGAAAAUCCCUUCUUUCAUUUGAAAAUUUAACAUGAAAAUUUGAUUGGUGUAGGCAAAAAAGAAGGAGUACAGGUCAAGCUUUAGUCAAAGUUUGAGUGGAAAGGUUAUAAAAUGGUACGCUAAACAAGAUGUGACAAAAUGGCGUACUUGGGAUAACUUAGAAAAUGCUUUUGAGGAUCACAACAAGUUUUAUGUCGAUAUUAUUCCUGAUAGAAUCUCUAUGUAAAGAUAAGGCAGAAAUCAAAUGAGUGUUUUCGCGAAUAUGCCAUACAGUGAAAAGAAGAGACGGCCAGGGUACAUCCUCCUAUGGAAGAAGCUGGAAUAAUCAGUUACUUCAUCCAUGCUAAAUCUAGAGUACUUUGAUCGCAUAGUAACAAUGGCUGAAAAAACAUUUACUGAAAUUGUCAGAACUGGAGAAAUGAUUGAGGAUAGCCUCAAAAUAGGAAUGAUAAUAAAUUUGAAAGAACUGUAAUCCACUAAAAAGAGCUUCUAGACUGGCUCUUUCAAAAAUGGAAAGAAAAAAAAGAAGGAAGUAAUGGGAGUAAUGACUCAAGAUAGCUCUUCCAACUACAAGUGAUCCCCAUGAUACCAAUCCAAUGCUUGGCGUACUCAUUAUCCAUUCUAUUAUACACAAGCAGCAGAUCAUGCUCAACCUCUACCAUAAAGCUACCAAAAUAAUGUGCCUCAUGCCAGCCAUGAAAGGAAGUCUCCCAGGAUCUUCACACCAUUGACAGAACCACUUACUCAGCUCUAUGAAAGGUCGAAAGAAGCAGGGCUACUUCAUCCAGUGGAAGCAAAUCCUGUGAACACUUCCACCAAUUGGUAUAAUCCAAACAAGCAAUGUGUUUAUGAUUAUGGAGUUGUUGAACAUGACACAGAGAAAUGUAUUACACUCAAGCACAAAUUCAGGUUCUAAUUGACAAUAAGGUAAUAACGCUUGUAGAAGCUUCGACAAAUAUGAACAACGAUUUAUUGCCCAUUCAGAAGAAGUAGUCGUCGGCACCAUCAAUCACAAAGAAGAAUGAAAUUUCCUCAAAGGCACAUUUUUGACAUCCUUAUAUUUUUCAAUUUGAAUUUAUCAUUUUCUUUUCUUGUAAUCGUACUUUUCUAUUUUUAUUUCCUUGUAGUUGCAAUUUGUCACUUUAUUUUUUAGUAAUCAUAUUUUAUGAUUUAAUUUCUUUGUUUUAGUUGCAAUGAACUACAUUCGACCUGAUUUACAUUAUUGAAUAUGUAGGCAACCCAUAUUUUCUUGGUCAUGUUACCAAAAAUAUCAAAUAUCAUUUUUUGCUUUGUACGAAUUACGUUUGACCCAAAUUCCCAAGAUGGGAUACGUAAGGGGUCUAUGUCGGCUUCAAUCAAUCCCUUAGAAAAUUUAUCUUUUCAUUGUAUGUUGAAACUAUAUUUAACCUAAUUCCUACCUCAAUAGGAUAUGUAGGUGUCACACCGGCUCGGUCAUAUCUUCCGUAAUACUUCUAUAGAAACUAGGGCAGAAUUUUUUUAGAAUAUCUCAAAAUAUUCACAAAACUUGACAUUUAUUAUAAGUUGGACACCCUACGUUAUUGAACCUACACACAGGGCAAAGUUUUGAGAAGUUCUCAAAAUUUCAAACUAAGACAUGUCAGAAAGAACCCAAGUAUUCUGCAUUUUUAUACUAAAAAAUUUUGUUUGAGGAUCAUGAAAAUUUCAUACUAAACGAUGCCAUAAGUUAUAAGAAAGUUUGAGAGUUUCUAAGUUAUAGUCUAAAAAGAAUUUUUGAGGAUGAUCUCAAAAAAUUCAUAAAAUAAUAUCUCUCCUAUAGAUCAAGUCUGAAGAUUCAUCAAAGUAUGAAACGGGGGCAGAAUUUCGAAGAGAAACCUCAAAAUUCUACAAGAAGUAACAUAAAAAUACACUACCAAAGGAUGUAGUGCAGCGGAUGGGGCUGCUCCUUCCUUAACUAGAGGUCUCGGGUUUGAGCCCUGGGUAUGGAAAAAUUUUUGGUAGGGAGUGUUUCCGCCCGAAUGGGGCCAUACGCAGCGCGAAUCAGGAUUAGUCGGACUCCAAUGUGGGUACCGGAAACUAGAUAGGAAAUAAAAAAAAAAACAUAAAAAUUACAAGAGGUCUUCUUUGUUCCACUGGGGUAGAAUUUUUAAGGAAAGUCCUCAAAAAUUUCACCAAGACUGUAUUUUCAAAGCCAGAUCAAGCUUUCAAAUCAAUGAUCAAUAAGGAGCAUCAGUAGAGCUAGGCAAAACUAACACAGCUAUACUCUCAAAACUAAAAAUAUUUCUUUGGAUGCAGGAAUAAUAAAGUAUUGACAACAUUAAGCAUGAGAAAAGAGCAUUAUCUGACCCAUGGCAUUGCCAUCCAGACAAAUUCUCUUCUCACUUUUCCUCUUGAUUUAUGCUUCUACUAUUUUGUUAUAGUCUCUAACACAUUCUUUGAUUUUGUAGGAAAAUGAUCAUGCAUAGAGAUUGAGAUAUGAAGAUAUUAUCCAAACCACUAUCUCUAUAUCAUCAUGAGUCAAACGAUUUUAUCUUCAAACUCUAUCCUCUGUUACACUCUUGGCUUAAUGUAAAAGACAUUGUAAAUCAUAUAAUUAACAACUUAAGAAAUUUAAAAAAUAUAAAAUAUUUGGCUCACUCUCGAAAAAAUAUAUACCAGCAUCACUUAAAUUGAAACAGAAGAAAAAAUAUUAUAAAUCACAAUAAUUAAAAAUAUAAAUUAUUUUAAUAAUUUAAAUUGAGAUAAAAAAAUAUCAUAUAUUGGGUCUGUACUGGCACGGCCCAUCAGCUGCCAUUUGCUAAUUUUGGACCGUUGGUAACGGCUAUAUAGUUGUUGGCCCAACUGCCAAAAUCAACUUUUGGCUGAUUUUUUUUAAGAAAAGAUUUUUAAUUUUUUUCUAUAAAUGCAUGGUUUCGAAUCAGUUUUUUUCACUACAUACAAUCUCAUUCUCUCAAACUCUCUAGAUUAUUCUAAUUAUCUCUUAAAGUGCUCAAUUUUAUUUUAUUAUUUUGCAAUUACAAAUAUAAAGUGAAAGUUUCAAAAGUCUCUCAACUUUAGGAUACUUCCAAAAUUUGGUAUUAUCGUUCCAUCUCUUACUUUUAAUUUUUAAUUAAUGUAUUAUUUGUUAAAUAUUUAUUUUUAUUAUUUUUGUGUUUUUUGAAUAUUUGUUAGUUUAAUUUGUAAUAUGGAUACAUUAAGAAAAUCGAUAAAAGUGCUAGAAAUUUCUAUCCUGGAAGUGCUAGUGGUAAUAAAAAAUAAAUUUGUUUUGAUUCUGGUAGAGGUAGGUCAAGUACUAGAUAUAUUCGUCUACCUCCGAUACCAAUUAGAGUAUCCUUUGAGAAUGAAAUAGGUGUAGGUGCUCACAAUAUGAAUUUUUUAGAAGCUUAAGAAACUUAUGGUAUAGAAGAAGAUAGAAGAAGAGAAUGAAGUGGACGCAGUUGAUUUAAAUAUAGAUGAUGAUGCUAUUAAAAUACACCUGAAGUUGGUAAUGUUAAUGUUAGAUCUGAAUCGAUUAAUCUUCCACCCCGACCCCCUGUAAGAUCUCAUAAAAAAUUAAUAUUGUGUAAAAAAAAUUUACAAUGAAGAAGAAACUGCUAAGGUCCAAUACAAUAUCUGUCAGGGAUUAUAUGAGCAUAAGAUCGGAGGUAAUAAAGUGGGUACGAGUACGUUGAUAAGAUAUUUGAAAAAAGAACACUCAACAGAAUUAGUUGCGUCAAAAGGUGGAGGGACUAUUAGGAGGCCAACUAAAAUUAGAUUGGACCCAAGAACCGGUCAAUUUUUUGAAUGAAGGAUCAAAAAGAAUUAGCAGAAAUGAUAGUUAUGGGUUAUUUGUCGUUCUCUUUUGCUUCUUCUGAAGUUUUUGUUCAUUAUAUUCAAAUAAUUUACAAUUCUAUGUUUGAAGGUAUUUCUAGAAGUACUUGUCGGUCCAAUAUUUUGAGACUUCAUGCAUAAUAUAUUUAUUAUUUAUCAGCAUUAUUAAAUAAUCUUCCAUGUAGAGCUGCUCUAAUUUCUGAUUUUGAUCGUGUUGUUAAUAAAAAUAAUUAGUCAACAAUUAUUUGUCAUUGGAUAGAUAGUAAUUUCGUUAUUCAAAAACCGUAUUUUAGCAUUUUUAUAUGAUGAAGACCGUAAACACACUGAGAAAUUUAUUUCUGAAUCUAUUACAAAAGUUGUAAACUAUUAUGGUAUUGAAAGAAAAGUUUUAUGGAUAUCUUUUGAUAAUGCAUCUAACAACAAGGUUGUUGUUGACUUGUUAAAAGUUGAUCUUUCUCCAUCGUUGCCCGAAAUAUUUCAUGUUAAGUGUAUUUGUCAUAUAUAUAAUUUAAUUGUAAAAGAUGGUCUUGACUUUUUGAGUUUAGUAUUGAAAAGGUUAGGCUUGCAAUUGACUUUAUUCAAGAAAAUCAUAGAAAAGUUAGACUUAUAGAAUUUAAAAGAAAAUGUGAACAAAGUGAACUUAGAUCGAUAUUAAUGCUUGAAGAAGUAGAUUGUAGAUGAAAUGCUACAUAUGAUCUUUUAAGAGCUUGCCUUAUUUAUAAAGUUUUUAUUACAAUGACUUUUAAUUAAUUUGUUGGUUCUUUUCCUGAGUGUAUGUUACAUGAUUCUGAUUGGGUUAUGAUUGUUGAUCUUGUUGAUUUUUUGAAAAAAAUUAUAUAUAGCUACGAUUGAAUUUUUCAGUGCUUAUUAUCCUACUGUUUGUAAUAUUUUAGUUUAUUUAGCUGACAUUUCUUGUUUGCUUAACGAAUAUAAGGAUAAACCAAGUUGCAAAGAUGUUAUUGCUACAAUGGCUGAUAAAUUUAAAAAGUAUUUUUAUCUAUUUUUUUAUUUACUUGAUUGUUGCUAUAAUAAAUCCAUGUAUGAAAUAUAAUACUAUGUCUGAAUUUACUUUUAUUAUUUAUAGUGUUUUAGCUAUACAACCUGAAGAAGAACCUUCUUUGUUUACGGCUAUGAGUGAUGCAAACAAUUACAUGGGCGCAUUAUACAAUCAUUAUGAUGAUUUACUUGAUGAUGUUAUACCGGCACAUAUCACUCCAACUCCUGCUCCCCAAGCUCCCGAUGAGUCAUCAUUUUCUAAAAAUCAUGCACAUAGUAGUUAUCUUGAUUACUUUUUUUAAUUAAAUGUUUGCAAUAAGGUGUCGCCUUCAACACAUAGUGUCACACCUCUUUUUUCGCUCAAAGGACCGAGGUCGAAGGUUUUUUCCAAUUAAAGUGACGAUUUUAAAUAGGGAAUGUUUUAAUUAUAGAGUCGUCACUUGGAAUUGAGUUAUGGUGUUCCAAGUCACCUUAUUAAAUCCCUAAUUAAAAGGAAAUGACUCUUAUUAUGGUCUGCGAAAAUAGAAGACCGGGUAAGGAGUUCUGUUGACCGAGGGGAAGGUGUGAGGCACCCCUCGAGUCCCGUGGUUCUAGCAGGGUCGCUUUAUUAACUUAUCUUGAGUUAAACUAUUUUUUGAUAAAAUUGUGUUAAGGCCUAUAUUCGCUCAUUUUUAUUACAUCGAAAAUAACUAUCUACGUCUCUUAUGUUAAAUAAAUUGAUGAAAAUUAAUUUUUAAAGCUAUAUGUCAAGGUGCAUUAUUGCAUCCUUAAAUUUUAAAAUGUCUCGAAAAGAUAAGUAUCCCGCAUGCUUAAUUGAGAUGAAAUAUUUUAAAAAUACCUAAAAUUUAUCUAAUUUUAAAAGACGUUCAUUCAUCAUUAAUAAACUUGUAACAAUUUUUGUCUUAUCCAUUUUACUCUCUUUACUCUUUUUCUUUUCAAAUUUGCAACGAUCUUGAAUUAGUCAUAACUUAAUUUGCUCCCUUACAAAUGGAUUUUUCUUUACUUUUAUUUUCUUUGUUACGAUGGAUCUUGAAUGAAUUCAUAAAUCAUCUCAUUCAACUCACAUUAAAUUGAUUAGGCUAAAUGAUAAAUAAAUAAAUAAUAAUAAUAAUAAUAAUAAUAAUAAUAAUUAAUAUUAAAAGAAGCAGUAUUUGAACCAACAACUCAUGGGCCUUUUGAUUUUUAGACUAAAUCUAAAACUGGUAGCAACCUUAGUUCAAACAUAUCAAUUCAUCUAAGAUAUUUUAAACACAUGCAAAAUAACUAAACAAUUAAAGACCUGAUCCAUAUUACUACUAAUGAUUUUGAACAUACAUCAAAUAAAAUUUAAAAGCAAAUACAGAACAUUAAACUCAAAAGAAUAAAGGAAAAAAAAUAGAUGAUAAUCAUUUUUCAACUUAAUCCACUACUAAAAAAAUAAAAAAAUAAUGUUUGUGUUAUAAAUGUAUUUAUAUUAUAGUGAAUGUCUAUCAAUAUCUAUCAAGAUCUACUUUGAUAUCUAUUAGGAUUUGAAACAUUCGUCUUUUACUCAGACUAGGAGUAAAUUUCCUCUAUAAAUAGAGGGGUUUUGUUCAUUGUAUUUACAAUCUUAUGAUAUCUCAUCCCUCAAGAGAAGAAGUAAGAAUUACUCUCUCUAUUCUCUCUACUUUUUUUCUUUAUUUUUUCUUGCUUUAUAACACGUUAUCAGCACGAGACUCUGCCAAAUAAGGUGAGAUUAUAAAUUUGAAGGAUUUCAAGGUUAGUAAUUUUUUAUGUUAUCUUUCUUUUGCUAAUACUAAUAUAAUUAUUAUUGGAUUUGAGAAAAAAUAAUUGGUUUGAACCAUUUAUAUUUUAAAUUUAUUCCUCAAGAACAAUAUUAUCAAAAAGGAUAAUAAUAUGUUGGGUCCAAGUCCCAUCGAUUCAUGCCUAAGUCGUCUUUAUAUGGAUCAAAUAUUGAGUUUUAAUAUCAAUACUCCAUAUUUAUGAUAUUGUGAUGGCUAAGGAAAAAUAAUGGGUGUUUGAUGAAAAGUCAUGAAAUUCGACCCAUUGAAUAUGCUUCAUUCCAUGAAGUGAAUGUGGUAGCAAUAUAUGAUAAUUCUGAAAUAUGACAACUUACUUCAUUCUUGAGGUGUUUAUGGUAGCAGUGCUAAUAUGUCUGAAAGAAGACAAGUGAUUAAAUGCACGAAUAUAAGCGUGGAGGAACAAUAUAAUAAUGAUCAUCAAAAGUGACGAUAUUUUCACACGCUUAUAUGAUUAUAAGAUAUGCUAGAGAAAAAAAAUUAUCUACAUCAUAUGUAUGCCUCGAUUUGCUUCUGAAGUAGCAAAAUCUUGAAAGAGGUUAUAAGCUAUCAUAGUUUGAUAGGCUUAAGGCACAAUUAUAUUCCAUUUCUGGGGAAUNNNNNNNNNNNNNNNNNNNNNNNNNNNNNNNNNNNNNNNNNNNNNNNNNNNNNNNNNNNNNNNNNNNNNNNNNNNNNNNNNNNNNNNNNNNNNNNNNCUGAAAUUUAUUCAUGUAAUAGUAAAUAUGAAAUUUACUAAAGAAAAAGUACAUGUCAUGAUAAACUUGGAGUUUACUAGAAUAAAAGUUCAUAAAUUGAUAUGAACGAUUGUGACAUCUCAAAAAUGUGCAUGUAUUAAAGAACUAGAAGAUUCUUCAAGCAUUGUUUAUGUCAUUUGUUCUCAUAUAAGUUGGUUGGACCAACUAAUGUUGGGAUUGAAUUCCUUAAAUCUAGAAAAUAUAAAAGAUGAAUAUGGUCCCGUUCACCUAUCAUGUGAUAUGUUGAAAGAUGCAUCAAUAAGAUGAUCACAUGUACAUUCAUUGUCAACUUAUAGUUUGACAUUCAUAAAGUUGCUUGCUCAAUAAAAUUGAGUUAAGAACAUAAUUUUCAGAUUGUACAAUCAAGAAAGUUAUCUUGAUGAUGAUGGUUUAGCAUUGAAUGCCUUCGAUAAAUAUCUAAACCAUCGCUAAUGAGAACCAAGCUUCAUGUGUUGGUCUGAAAUAUGAUAUGUUGCAUACAAUAAUAAUUAUAUACAUUAGACCAAUAAAUUAAGAUUAUUUCUUCCCCCUCAAUUGGUUCAAGGUCAUGAACCAACUAUUCCAUCUAAAAGUUUUGAUGUGCGGUAUACGAUUAAUGAAUACACCAUGAUGCAUAAAGAUGAAUUUCUCAAAGAAGAUAGAGGAUGUAUGUUAGUUUUUCUAACAUAAGGGGGAGACUAUAAGCGCUAUGAAAUAUGUUAGAAAUUAUCACCAUAUCCUCAUCCAAAAGAUAAUUCAAGUCAAAUGCUGAAAGCAUUUCAUAUUAAGCGCAAGUGCUCUUAUUUUGUGUUCCUAAAGGACAAAUUUUAUGCACGUGUGAAGCGUAGUAGACUGAUUGGUUCCAAAUGAAAUAUUUCUUACAAAAUAAGGAGCAAAUAAUCAUAAUAAGAAGGCAAUGAGCUCCUGAAGAGCCUACGACAUACCACUUCAUGAAACCUUAUGAGAGGUUUAUGUACCUGAAAAUAAUGAAGUAAUGAGAUCUCAAAAUAUUAUGACACAUUGUAAACCGAUACAAAAUGAUAUAUCAUCAAUAUCUUUGACACAAUAUUGGCGCAAAAUUGUGAAAGAUUACGAGGAUCCAAAUUCUACGUUUAUUUAAGCAUGCUGACGUAGAAACAUUUAUCAAAUGACAUGAAAGGAUGUAUUUUGGUAUGCGUAAAACUUAUUUGAUUUGCAGUACAGACACUUGGAUGUCACUAAUGAAAUGUUGAAUAUUGUCACUUGACAAAACUUAUGUGAAUACUUUUAAGGAUUCAAACUGCUUGAAGCGUAUAAAAGUUUCUGGGAAAUUUAUUUAUAAUCCUUAUAUCGUAUAAGCUUAUUGCUUGAACAUCAUUGGAACUCUUGGAGAGUUUUCAAAGCAAUAGAUUAUUUGCUGAAAUUUGAAAUAUAUCGAAUUGGAUUGGUUAUGAAGUAUCAUAUCUUAGUCCAAUUGAUGCACUCAUGUACUUUGCAAAUACUACAAGGCCUAUAGCCUUUUCAGUCAAUUUGUUAGCAAGGUAUAUUUCUGCUCCUACUAUGAGACAUCGAAAUGGGAUAAAACACAUGAGUUUAUUUAUUUCUAAAAAAUUGCAGUCCCGAUCUUAUUGGUCAUGCUGAUGUUGGGUACUUAUUUGAUCCGCAUAAAGCUUGAUCUCAAAUAGGCUAUGUGUUCAUAUAUGGUGGUACUGUCAUAUCUUGAAGAUAUAAAAAACAGUCUAUCAUAGCUACUUCAUCGAAUCAUGCUGAGAUAAUAGUUAUUCAUAAAACAAGACGAGAAUGUGUAUGGUUGAGGUCCAUGAUACAUCUCAUUCGAGAAAAAUAUAGUGUGAAAUAUGAAAAUCUACCCACAAUUUUAUACAGAGAUAAUUCAGCAUACAUAGCACAACUUAAGGGAGGAUUCAUAAAUGGAGAUAGAACGAAGCACAUUUUGCCAAAGCUUUUCUACAUACAUGAGCUACAAAAGAAUGAUGAUAUUAACGUGCAACAGAUUCGUUCAACUGACAAUGUGACUGAUUUAUUCAUCAAAACUUCUUCAAUUGCAACUUUCAAGAAGAUGUUGCACAAGAUCGAGAUGCAAAGGUCAAGGAUGUUCUCAUUAGGGAGAGUUAAUACGCGCUGUACUCUUUUUCCCUUACGAGGUUUUAUCCCACUGGGUUUCCCUUGUAAGGUUUUUAAUGAGACAGCCGAAAUGCGUAUUAUUAGAGAUAUGUACACUUUUUCCUUCACUAGAUUUUUUUUCCUACUGGGUUUUUUCUAGUAAGGUUUUAACGAGGCACAUUAUCUAUCAAUUAGACAUUCAAGGGGGGGUGUUAUAAAUGUAUUUACAUUAUAGUGAAUGUCUAUCAAGAUCUACUUUGAUAUCUAUUAGGAUAUGAAGCAUUCAUCUUUUACUCAGACUAGGAGUAAAUUUUCCCUAUAAAUAGAGGGGUUUUGUUCAUUGUAUUUAUAAUCUUAUGAUCUCUCAUGCCUCAAGAGAAGAAAUAAGAAUUACUCUCUCUAUUCUUUCUACUCUUCUUCUUUAUUCUUUCUUUUUUUAUAACAGUUUGGUAUUUAAACAAUAACCUACUAGAUCUUUUCUCUUUUCAUAUAUCUAUCCGCUGCUUUUUUUUUUUGCUAUUAUAUAUUUUAAAAAAUACUUCUCUUUUUUUUUCUUGAUUCGUUUUGAUCUCCAUCUCCUCCUGUUCUUCACUUUUCUUUUCUAUGCGUUAUUCUUCUCUAUUUCGAAUUUAACUUGACAGUAUAUACAUAAACAAUUAGUAAUUUAAUAUCCAACACAUAAUAACAUAUACAUUAUCCAAAUAAAUCAACAACACAUUAUGAAUAGUAUAUGAAAAUUACUUAAACAAAUUUAUUCAUAUUCUUGAUUUGUAAUGAAGUUUAUGCAAUAAAUUAUAUAGGAUCAAAAUAAAAUCUGUGUUAAGUUGAAAAGAAACACGAAAUCGUGACCGGAAUCCUCAAGCGAAAUUUUAAAAUUUUGAAUCUCUACGCUUUCUCUUCUUUAUUUUUAUUUUUAUUUUUAUUUUUGCUCUCUGAUUUUUUGUCUGAUACAGUGUAUAGUGUGAGUGUGCGUUUGUUUUUCUCUGGGAGGGUGAGAGUUCUUUAAGUAGAGGAAUUUUGGGGGGAACGAUUGUUUUUUAGGGGGAAUCAUUCAUCAACAAAUAAGGGAGAGGGGAUAUGUAAAAUUCAAAAUUUUCUUCUUCUUUUUUAAUUAUAGAAAAUAAUAGUAAUAAUAAUAAAUAAAUAUAAUAAUAAUAAAUAAAAAUAAAUAAAUUAAAUANNNNNNNNNNNNNNNNNNNNNNNNNNNNNNNNNNNNNNNNNNNNNNNNNNNNNNNNNNNNNNNNNNNNNNNNNNNNNNNNNNNNNNNNNNNNNNNNNNNNNNNNNNNNNNNNNNNNNNNNNNNNNNNNNNNNNNNNNNNNNNNNNNNNNNNNNNNNNNNNNNNNNNNNNNNNNNNNNNNNNNNNNNNNNNNNNNNNNNNNNNNNNNNNNNNNNNNNNNNNNNNNNNNNNNNNNNNNNNNNNNNNNNNNNNNNNNNNNNNNNNNNNNNNNNNNNNNNNNNNNNNNNNNNNNNNNNNNNNNNNNNNNNNNNNNNNNNNNNNNNNNNNNNAUUUUUAAAAUUAGAAUAACAAUAAAAAUAAAAUAUCUCAAAGUUAACUUUAUUUAAUUAUUUAUUUUUUAACUAAAAAUUUAUUAAAAUAAAAAUGAAAGUCGAAAUAAUAUAUGAUUAAAUAUAUAAAUAUAAAAUAUUUAAUAUCGAUAAACAAGUUAAAAUUUAGGGUGGAUCAAAAAUCACGUGUCUACACAUAGAGCCGUUUCUCGGAAAGAGCUUAAAUAUUAUCUUAGAUAGCCUAUAGAGGAUCGUAGAGCAAGAAUCAACACGUUGGAUUGGUGGAAGAAUAAUGAAAGACAGUAUCCUGUACUUUCAAGAUUAGCUAGAGAUAGAUUGAAUGUUUCAAUGUCAACUGUUGCAUCAGAAAGCGCCUUUAGUCAAGGAUGAAAGCAGUUUGGAGAUAACUGACACUCAUUAAGAAGCAAUGUCAAGAAUGUUCUAGUUUACCUUAAAGACUUAAUUAAAGCGGAACGAAGAAAUCAACGAAUGGAGGUGGAGCCAACAGUUGAACAAAAUCUUGAAGAAAUUAUGACUUCAAGGGAGAACUCGGCACAAUCAAGUUCAAUGCACGGCUUUGGCCCAAUUGAUUUCGACACUCCUUAGACAAUUUUCAUUAAUAUUAACAUGAAUGAGUUGAAAAAAGUGAUUAAAAUUUGUAGAAUUUUCAAUUAAUCAUUUAAUCUAGGAAAAAGGCAUAAAUACCCCCUGAACUUUAUGUCAAAACUCACUUUAACACUUUAACUUUAUCGGUAAUUAUUUACCACCCUAAACAACUUUCACGUGAAUUAUAUUACCCUCUUAAGGGUUGAUGUGACAAAAAAAAUAAAAAUAAAAAUAAAGCACGUUUUGAAUUAAAAAAGUAAAAAAGAAAAAAAAAAGUGGGCACAUUUUUAAAUUUUCAGCCAUUAAUAUUUCUUCUUCUUCAUACCCCAUCACCCCCUCUCUUCUUUUUCCUCAAACCCUACUACCCCCUCUCUUCUAAUUCCUCUAUUUCUUUUUUUUUUCACUCCUAUCAACCAUUUUCAAUACAUAUCUAAAUAUUUUCAUGUGAAUUUUUAUAAUAACAUCAUCUUCUUACACAAAAAUCUUCAAAAAAAUGCAAUUUAUUUCAGCAAAAUUAGUUUUUCUUAAUAGUUGUCUCAUUCUUAUUUUGAUUGAACAAAUUAAAACAAAAAUUAAAUUUCAACAAUAUAAAUUUACAUAUCAAGAAAAGGAUGAGGUGGUGGUCGGAUUGAACGUUUUGUUCUUGUUAUUGUACAUCCAUACUUUGUUUUAAAAAAUGAUCCUCAAAUAUAAAAAAAUAUUGGGAGGGGGGGGGGGAGACUUGGGGGCCGGAGGGAGGGACCCGUGCUAAGCCAGUACCCAAACUCAAGUAAUUUGAUAUUUUAUGAAUAACAUGAUUUAAUAUAUAUAAAUAUAUAUAUAUAUAUAUACAUAUAUAUAUAUAUAUAUAUAUAAAUAGAGAGAGAGAGAGAGAGAGAAUUAUCUUUUAAUUUAUUUUUUUUCCUGGCUUGCGUGGUAAUGAUGUGGCAGCGAUGUGGCACUGACUUGGGGGCUAGUGUAUUAAAUUCUUUAUUAUGAGAGUGGAAUUAAAUUUUUGGGGUGGUAUAUAAUUCAUGGAAAAGUUGUUUAGGGGGUAAAUAAUUACCGAUAAAGUUAAAGUGCUAAAGUAAAUUUUGUCGACAAGUUCAGAGAAAAAACUAUGUCUUUUCCCUUUAAUCUAUUGAAUUUUUUAUAUUUCAUUUUAAGUGAGAUGUAAUUGCAAUUUUGUCACUGAACCAUUUUGCAAUCAAUCAAAUACAAGAUUCAUUCACUCUUUACAUAUUUUUUUCAUUUAAAUUGAAUAUCUAAUUUGAAUUAAAUUAUUUUAAUAUAUUACCAUCAAACUUUACAUAAACAUAACAAACAUAUAUACAUUAAAAAAUUAAAAAAUAAUAUUAACAAAUAUUACUUAAAUUACUAGUAUUGACAUAUAAAAAUUUUGGAUAAAUUUAGCUUUUAAGUAGUGUAUAUUAAUAUUUGAAUAUAUAUUCAAGUAUUAUUAUAUUAAGUAGUAUUUAUUGUAUGUAUAUAUGUGUGUAUAUUUUCUAAACUAGUAUAGUAUGUAAUGUAUAUAUGUUGUCUGCAUAUUUUUUAAAGUAGUAUAAUAUGUAAUGCAAUAUAUGUUGUAUGUAUAUUGUUCAAAGUAGUAUUUAAAUUUUUAAGUAGUAUACAUUGUAUAUAUGUGUAUAUAUUUUCUAAUACAGUAUAUAUUGAAUGUAUACAUGUGUGUAUGUUUUCUAAAGUAGUACAAUAUAUAAUGUAUAUUGUUUCAAGUAUUAUUUUAAGUAGUACAUAUUAAAUGUAUAUUGUUUCAAGUAGUAUAUAUUGUAUGUAUAUUGUUUCAAGUAUUAUUUUGUAGUAGUAUAUAUUCGAUGUAUAUAUAUGUAUAUGUUUUCUAAAGUAGUAUAAUAUCUAAUGUGUAUAUUGUUUCAAGUAGUAUUUAUUAUACGUGUAUAUGAGUGUAUGUUUUCUAAAGUAGUAUAAAAUGUAAUGUAUAUAUGUUAUAUGUAUAUUAUUUCAAGUAGUAUUUUACAUAGUAUAUAUUGAAUGUUUAUUAUUUCAAGUAGUAUAUAUUGUAUUUAUAUUGUUUCAAGUAGUAUUUUAAGUAGUAUAUAUUGAAUGUAUACUUGUUUCAAGUAGUAUUUUAAGUUGUAUAUAACUAUAUAUUGUAUGUAUAUUUGUGUGUAUAUUUUCUAGUAGUAUAAUAAAUAAUGUAUAUAUGUUUUCAAGUAAUUAGUAUAUAUUGAAUGUAUAUUGUUUCUAGUAGUAUUUCAAGUAGUAUAUAUUACAUGUAUAUUUGUAUAUAUAUGUUUUCAAAUGUACCAAUAUAUAUAAUGUAUAUAAGUUGUAUGAAUAUUAUUUCAAGUAGUAUUUUAAGUAGUAUAUGUUGAAUGUUCAUAUGUGUGUAUAUUUUUUAAAGUAGAUAUUAAAUGUAUAUGUGUGUAUAUUUUCUAAAGUAGUAUAAUAUGUAAUGUAUAUAUAUUGUAUGUUUAUUGUUUAAAGUAUUUAGCAGUAUACUUUAAUUUAGGCGAUCGGAUCGGACCAUACCCGAGUCCGAUAAAAAAAUGGGCUAGUGUCGGAUUGGGUCGGACCGACCUGGUUGACAAUCUUAGCUAGAGGAAUGUAACGAAGGUAGUGUAAAGCGUCGUUGAAACAUACUUUACAUGGACAGGUUAAUGGGCAUUCAAGAUGACCUGGCUAGUGAUGUCCCAUUGCACUUUGGGAGGACUACUUGCAUAAGCCGUUCAAGUGGUCGUACUUACAUCAUAAUUUGUGACAUUGGUCUACGUCAUGUGACCCCCUACAUAACUCUUAAACAAAAAGUUUGUAUGUCUUGUACACUUAUUUUGGUGUAACUUUUUUUUGUUUAACAAAAUUUUCGGGUAUUUUAUGCACUUACAUUAGUGCAAUUUCCUUUUUAUUUAACUAGUUACUCGGUAUGUGUGUCAAAUCUUAAAUCUAAUUGUCCUUGGUGCCUUGAAUUAAAAUUUAUACAUCAUUAUUGUAACACUACUACACAUGAAAGAAUAGUUAUGUGGAUAAUAAGCUUAGAUCAUGCGAGAUUGGACCAUUUUUAAUACUAUAAUAUAUUGUUCUUUAAUUCGAACACUUUUACGGUGAACUUUAACCUACAACUUAUUACAACAGUAUAUAUUUGAAUAAAAAUUAUUUUUUAUAUUUAUACCGUGUAUAUAUUGAAUCCCCUUAAUUUUUUCAUAUGUUUUGAAUCUCCAUAGUGAAACUUGGCUUGGCUUCACCAAGUUAACAUAGAGUCGAUUAUUCUUAAUUAUAAGAACCAAGAAACAUCUAAGGAUCAUGUAUAUUAAAAAAAAGAAAAUCAACAAAUUAUCAUAAAUUGUAUACGAUCUGCAUCUUCAUCCAACAAACUUGUCACAAACCAGAGCACAAUUCUAUGUUCAUAGUGAUCAAUUGUUGUAUCAUGCUUGGAUGAAUUUUUUUUACGUGACUUUAAACUAAAAUUCAAAAGCCAAAAGUAUGUAGCAACCUACCAACUUUUGGCUUUUGGCUUUUGGGUGGUAGCUUUUUUUUUUUUUUUUUUUUUUUUUUUUUUUUUGGUACUUUUUAAGCCUAAAGUAAAGUGUUUAAAAGCACUUUUUGUCUUUGUCAAACAUUUCCAAAAAUUAAAAAAAAAUAUGCUUAAAAGUCAAAACACUUAAAAAUAAAGUCAAUUCCAAUAGCCUUUCAAUUUAAACCCACAAAAUAGGAUCUAAAAAAAAAAUAGGGUGUACGCAGACCUCCUACCUUAAAGGUAGAGAGGUUGUUUUAGAUAGACCCUCAGAAUUUAGUUAUAAGAGCAUAACUAGGAUAGUUUUGCUUUUUAAUGUAAUGCAAGAAAGUAACUGUGAUAGAGAAUGUUAAUCCAGAAGAUCGAUUCUUGAGGAAGAAGAUAACCAGUUCAGGGAAUUGAUCUGAGAAUUUGGUUGUAAUUGAACUGAGAAUUAGAGAAAAGUGAGAAAAAAUGAUUUCUUAUUACCCAAUGAAUGAAUGAUUACAUCAAUGCUACUUGGUUUUAUAGCUAAUAAUUGCAGCUAACAACUAUAACUAACUUUGUAAUCGAGUAACUAACUUUGUGACUUUGAGCUACAGUAAUAACUGUAGUGAAUAGUAAAAACAAAAUUUUGAAUUCUAAUACAAUUUAACUACGUUUAACUAACUUCUAACUAAUUUGUUGAUUCUCCGUUGCGCUUCAUUUUGUAUCAAUAUCCCUCCCUAAAGAACAUCCUUGUCCUCAAGGAUUAAAGGAAGGGAACCUCAAUAGUAACUCAGAAGUCUAUUCCCGUGUAGCCUGUGUUGCAUCGAUCCUAGUCCACUGCAUAAAGACCUGUUCUACAGCCUUGUUUCCUUUUUUGACCAAGCUCUCAUCUAACAUCACUUCCGGAGUAAGACAAUAAAGGCUAGAGAAAUGUAUGAUAGGAGAAUGAGUUAUACUCAAAGGUAAAGCAUGACACCUCUUCAGUUGAGAGACAUGGAAGGUCGGGUGAAUGAGAACAUCACUAGGCAGUAAGAGCCUAUAGAAAAUAGCUCCUAUGUUGGUUUUUACCAUAUAAGAGUCAUAACAUUUAGCAACAAGCUUGUUAAAAGGCUUGGAAGCUACUGAAACUUGUCUGUAAGGCUGCAAUUUCAAGUUAACCCAACCACCUAUUUCAAAGGACCUGUCGGAUCUAUGUUUGUUGGCACUGUCUUGCAUUCUUUGUUGAGCCCUGACAAUAUGAAACUUCAGCAACUGAAUAACAACCUCCUUGUCCUUCAAACUUCUAUUUACCAUCUUCAUAGCACUUUCACCCAUUAAGUAAGGUAAAUGAAUGAGACGUUUUUUAUCAUAUAAGGCUUCAUAAGGUGUGCAGUAGCAUUGUACCACCACUCAGAUAGGAAAAGAUAAUUGGCCCAUUCUCUAGGGAAACCAGAGCAAAAACAUCUCAAGUAAGUCUCUAAGGUCCUGUUGACCACCUCAGUUUGGUCAUCACUCUGAAGAUAGUGAGCAGUAGAUCUCUGAAGUGUACACCUUGCAAGGUGAAUAAUCCUUGGCAAAAGUAUGUAAGAAGAUAGUAUAUCUGUUACUAGUCAUGGUGACAGGCAAUUCAUGUAGCUUAAAAAUAUUAUCUAUAAAGCAUUUAGCAACUAAUUAAGCUGUGUAUGGGUGUUGCAGACUUAAGAAAUGACUGCAUUUGGUGAGCCUUCCUACUACCACCAAGAUGACAUCUUUAACUCUGAGACUUAGACAGACCUUCAAUGAAAUCCAAGCAAAUAUCAAUCCUUACAUCUUUAGAAUAGGUAGAGGUUGCAAAUACCCUGGAGACACAGUUGCAUCAUACUUGUGUCUUUCACAUAUAUCAUACUAAUUUAUGAACCUUCUCAUAUUUGUAUUAAGUGUUUUCCAGUAGAAUAGGGAUUGUAACCUCCAUAUAGUAGCAUCCAUACCUGAGUGUCCAACUUGUAGAGUACUAUGUCAUAAAGAAAUAAUUAUAUCAGUCUUCAACUAUUGAUCAUUAUUUAUAACUAGUUUGCCCUUCUAUCUAAGCGGACCGCUACACUAAGUGUAAGACUUGAAAGGUUGUGCCUGAAUCUUUCAGAUAAUAACCUGUAAUGCAGGAUCCAUCUCCUAAGAUGUCUUAAUCUUCAUGUAAAGCUCAUUAUGUGGAGUGAUUAAGGAGAUGGCUAGUAGUUCAGCAUCAGGCAUUCUUGACAAUCCAUCAGCAACACUAUUCUCAAAGCCCUUUUUAUACUCAAUAGUAAAAUCAAAAGCCAUUAAUUUUGAUAUACCACCAAUCUAGAAAUUUCUAUGAAUUGGUUGAUCAAGUAAGUGUUUCAAAUCCUUCUAGUCAGUUCUCAGUAUAAAGUGGUUGUGCAACAAGUAGUGUUACCAUUUGUUAACUGUAAAAAUGAAAGCAAGCAAUUCUCUGUCAUAGACAAACAUAACUUGAUGUUUAGGAGUCAAGGACUUGCUUAUGUAACCAAUAGGGUGUCCUUGUUGCAUUAACACAACUCUAAUUCCUUUACCACUAGCAUCUGUCUCCACAACAAAAGAUAAGGAAUAGUUAGGCAAGGCUAGCACAGGUGUAGAAAUUAGUGCUUGUUUUAGUGUAUUAAAAACCUCAUAAGCUUACUCAGACCAGUGAAACCCUUCCUUCUUCAACAAAUCAUGAAGGGAUCUGAAUAUAAUCCCAAAACCAUAUAUAAACCUUUUGUAGUAGCCUGCAAAGCCUAAGAAUCCUCUAAACUGUUUGAGAUUAGAAGGCACAGGCCAUUGUUGAACAAAUAUAAUCUUUCUAAGAUAAGUUGAGACACCUUCUGCACUAAUGAAAUGGCCUAAAUACUCUACCUUAGCCACUCCAAAGACACACUUAGACAUCUUAGCAUACAAUUGGUACUUCUUUAUUAAUUCAAACACUGCUUGAACAUGAAUCAAAUGAUCAAUCAAGGAUUUGUCAUAGAUUGUCAUCAAAGAACGCCAAUACGGAAUUUCUUAAUUAAGGUUUGAGAACUGCAUUCAUAAGUCCUUGUCAGGAAGAUGGAGCAUUGGUUAAACCAAAAGGCAUAACCAAAAACUCAUAAUGGCAUUUAUGAGUUUUGAAAGUUGUCUUAUGAGUGUCUUCUUUAACCAUUCUCAACUGAUGAUACCCUGUCCUAAGAUUAAUCUUUGAGAAUAUAAUGACACCCCCUAAUUCAUCCAACAAGUCUUCAAUCAUAGUAAUUGGGAAUUUAUUUUUAAUAGUCAACACAAAGUUUUCAAAACCCAUCUUUUUUUCCUACCAACACCACAUAAGAAACAUAUGGGCUAGAACUAUGUUGAAUAACUCCCUGAUCCAUCAUCUCCUAUACCAGUCUCUCAAUAAUAUCCUUCCUAAGUGUAGGAUAUCUAUUAGGUCUCUUACUAACUGGAAUUGUUGAUUCCAUCAAUGAAUUCUGUAAUCAAAUGCACCUCUAUAAGGUGGUAAGUUGCUAGCCAACUCAUAAAUACAAGAAAAUUGUUCCAAUAAAAGUUUCAUUUCUAGUAACAAGUUAGUACCUGGAGUAACUUGAAUACUUAGUACCUGGAGUAACUUGAAUACUGCAGCAAUGUAUUUCUUUUACUACAGGCUUGAUCAAUGACAUCAUGAAUAUUUGAGCUUCUUGUUCUUCCUACUUGAUGAGGGACUUAGCUUUAACUGUUUUUAUGUGUACUCCAGUUCCUCUUAACACAUGUUUCUUUCCUUAAUACAUGAAUACAAUGGACCUAUUCUGAAAGUCAAAUAGGAUUCUCCCAAUGUACUUAACCACUGAACCCCCAAUAAAAUGUCAACAUUUUCUAGAGGUAAGAUCAGGAAAUCAGAUGAAAAUGUAGUGCCUUGUAAAAACCAUGCGAGGUUCUUAGAUACUGAUGUAGUCUGCACUGUUCUAUCAUCUGUUACACUAAUAUAUUGGUCAUGGAUAAGAGAAGCUUUACAUUACAAUCUUGUGGCUACAUAUUGAUCAAUAAAGUUGUGUGUGCUUCCUAGGUCAAUUAAGACCUACAAAGGCCCUUUUUAUGAUAUCCUGUGACCCUAAGGGUUUGAUAGCCUGUCACUUCUGUAAAAACUUGUAAUGAUAUGGCCAUGAACUCAUCUGAUUCACUAGUCACAAUAGGAAUUGAUUCAUGCACUUUAGCUGACUCCAUGUCUCGUUCUUCUACUUCUUCUACCUCUACCAUAUACAAAUGCUUGUUACUUCUAUAGUUGUGCCCCUGUACAUAUUUCCCAUCACAGAAAAAACACAGGCCUAUUGCUUUUUUUCUCAUUCUUUUUACUUGGAAAUUUGUUAUCUUUAAUUUGCUUUUGUUCAAAAGGUUUGUUAUACGUGAAAUUGGAUGCAAGAUUGUAACAAGUUUUCUGAGUAUACACAGGUUUAACCACUGCAGGAGUAGGUAAUAAUCCACUAUUACUCUUAUAAGGUACCUUCAAACCCAUGACUGAGUUUGUGCCGCAAGCACCUCUUGUUGAAGCCUAGCUAUCUUAUAAGUCUGCAUCAAUGUUUUAGGACCUUGUAUUUUAAAAGCCUUAUGUAGUGCUGGAAUUAAACCCCCUAAGAAGCAACUGAUAGCAUUUUCAUUAAUGUUUUAGGACCCUGUAUUUUAAAAGCCUUAUUUAGUGCUGGAAUUAAAACCCCUAAGAAGCAACUGAAAGCAUUUUCAUUUGACAAGUUAACCCUAGUCCACAGUUUAUCAAAUUUAGCCUAAUACUUCCUUAAGCUACCAGUUUGUCUCAAAUUUUGACAAGUUAACCUUAGUCAACAGUUAAUCAAAUUUAGCCUAAUACUUCCUUACGCUACCAGUUUGUCUCAAGUUCUUUAGGGCUUCCAUUGGAUCCUCAAAUUCAUCCCUAAACCACUCAUUUAGGGCUAUGACAUAUUCAGUCCAAGUAGGAUCCACUACAAAAUUCCUGAAUCUGAUAUAUGAUCUGUGCCAGGCUAUAGCCUCAUCAUCAAAAUGGAUGGAUGCUAUCUUAACCCUCUGCUCAAAAGGUACUUCAUCCUUGGAAAAAAACUCGACAUUGUAUAACCAAGUUCUUAAAUUUCAGCUUGAAAAUCUAGGAAAUUCAAGUCGAGAAUACUUUGUGAAGUGAUUACGCAGUGAAUUCGAGAUGUGAUGACCUUCUUUUAGCCUUUCCUCUUGUUGCAGCUCCACUGAACAAGCCAUUUCAUUAGUGGAUUCUGCUCUAAUUUGUUCUCUUUCUUUUCCUUUGUGUCAUUAAUCCCAAUGCUUCAAGAAUCUCCAACAAUUCUUUAUCAAUUUGUUGGUUUUUUGCAUCCAUACUUAACUGUUGCAGUUGAUCUUGAAUUUCUUAAAUUUUUAUCAAUUUGUCAUUCAUUUCUUCCACAGGCUUAUCUUGACCCUUACUUCGCACCAUUAUCAGUCCAAGAACCUACUAGCUUUGAUAACACUUGAUGCAAAGAAUGUUAAUCCAGGAGAUCCAUUCUCGAGGAAGAUGAUAACUGGUUCAGGAAAUUAAUCCGAGAAUUUGGUGGUAACUGAACUGAGAAUUUGAGAAAAUAGAGAAAAACUGAUUGUUAUUAUCCAAUGAAUGAAUGAUUACAUCAAUACUAUUUGACUCUAUAGCUAACAGUUGCAGCUGACAAGUAUAACUAACACUGUAAUCGAGUUACUAACUUUGUGACAUUGAGCUACAUUAAUAACUGCAAUGGACAGUAAAAACAGAAUUUUGAAUUCUAAUACAAUUUAACUACGUUUAACUAACUUCUAACUAAUUUGAUGAUUCCCAGCUGAGCUUCAUUUAAUCUUCAUUUUUCAAACUCAUAUCAGAAUGUUAAAAAUAAAAAAAAAAUCAAUGUCAAUAAAAGCAUAUAAAAUGAUCCCAAACAGUCGUAGGAGACUAUGAAUGGUCUAAUUAUUAGAGAAAACACAUUUUGCAAGACAGUCAAAAUAUGAUUAUUGCAAAGUGUUCUUCGCUGAUACAAAGAUCAAUGUACUGCAAACCUUACAAAAAGGAAAACUGCUUAAGCAAACUUGACUCAUUGGAGCUGCUAGCUAUCGCAACAUAUUCUCUGGAAACCGCCCAUAGUAUUAAUCUUCGCCAUCAUCUGCAACAAAAGUUCCAGUGACAUUAGGACAACUACAAAUACAAGAGUCAAAAAAAAGAACUACAAAUAGACUACUGACACAACAUAAUAGAAAGUCACUCCAAACAUAAUACCGCCAUGAAGAGUAACUUCCAGAAUGCGCACACCUUACAGCAUACUAAUACAAAUAUGAAGCACAAACUUGAUUCUAUUUCAUGAUCGAAUAGGGGCAACUCAUCAGCUUUGUUGAGCCUUUGGGCACAAACUUGAUUCUAUUUCAUGAUUGAAUAGGGGCAACUCAUCAGCUUUGUUGAGCCUUUGGUAUUGUAGUAUGCUCUUACUUCCCCCUUUUUUUUUUAUAACCGUGGUGUGUGAACUAACUUGGCGUGCAGCUUGACUAAUUUCACGUGGUACCUAGUACCUACUACCUCCCACCAGCAUAGGUAUCAAGUAACUCUGUCCACCAAGGUUUGGACAAAUGAGAAAAAAUCACCUAGUGUUUUCUUUUCUGCUGGAACUUGAACCUGAAACCUUACCUCAUGGUUCUACUCUUCCUACAUAGUUUCUAAAAGGGCUUUCAUGACUAAAGAUAAAAAUUUCUCUCGACAUUUCAAUGCAUUGCUUAUCCAAAUGUUCCCAUCCAUUUUAUUUUAUUUUUGACCAAGUAAAAAAUGGAAUUUCAACAUUUUGAUAAGCAAUAGGCUUGUGACAUUUAUGUCUAAAAUGUUCAAAAUUCAUUAGAAUGAAAAAAGGGAGAACACAUUAACAGUGCUAAUUUGUUCUUGCUUUUGCAAAUUACAACUAUGGAGGACUUUUACUCAGCGCUCAGCACUCAGCAGCGCUGGUUACAUUACUAUUUCUUUCCUGAUGCUUAUACUGCUAUUUGAAUACACCUGCAUACAAGUGGUUUGUUGACAUAUUUUAAUAAUAAGAACCAGUAUUUGGAUAGCAUUAGUCUAUCUUAAACCGUAUCUUAAUCUCGAGGACUAAACCCAAACCAUUAGGCUACACUUCAAUGUUCAUCAGGGAGGAACAUCAAGAAAUCAGCAUUCCAGUCUCCUCACUGUUCUUGAACCCACAUAGCUUUGAGAAAUAAUUGAGUUUAUUCAACAACCUCAAAUUCCUCAAGGCCAAAUCACGUGGCAAAUUAUUUAGCACUUUUUAGAAGUCAACCAAAAAAAUUAGGAUUUCUUAUCACAUGUUUCCUAGUGACUUCACUUUUUGGAAUUAUACUAGUCCAAAAUUUCACUUUUUGGAAUUUUACACGCCCCUAUGUCAAUUUAUGUGGUUCCUUUUUACUUUAUCCCAAAACAACAACAUACCAACUGUGAUCCCAGAAGUGGAGCCUGAGCAGGGUAGGGUGGGAUGCACACAGACCAUACCUUUUGUGGGGUAGAGAGGUUGUUUCUGAUGGAUCAAAACAAAUGACAUAUUUCUGUACUUAGAAAUAAUUUAACUUUGAACUAUUUUAUAACCUUAAUGAGGUUAUAUAUAUUCACAAAAGGCCUAUCACUGGUCUAGACAACAAGUUUUAAAAUAUCUUUCUUAAACUUGAAUCCCAAUCAAACAUCGCCACAUAAAUUAGGAUGGAGGGAGAAUUAGACACCAAACAUUUGACUUCAAUGACAUUUCUUCGAAAUAUACGUUUCUGACCUAAAAUACAAAUGUAAAGCUCAUGGAUCUCAAAUCAUCAUUAAAAUAUUUAAAGAGGCCAAACUAACAACCUUGCACAUACUUACGCAGAAUUUAUUUUGGAGCAUGAGAGAGAAGCGAGCAGGUACCUUGGAAGAACUUUUCCAAGUUCACCAAAUCUUUACCUUGUACAUGUGAUGUUUAUUGGCCUCAAAAUAUUUUGAGAUUGAUUACUCUCCAAUCACAACUCUUGAGUUUCUCAAAUUUGUUUAUAGGCUUGCCUUUCAUGUCAAAUUACACUAACGUAAAAUCAACACUAACUUAUAAAAUACUUUUUAGGACUUUAUAAGUCCUGUAUUGUCAUGCUUAAUGCCGGUAAGGGUAAACAACGUAUUUAUAAUGAUUUGUCUCUCCCAACAUUAUCAUAAGAGUCAAUCGUUUCUUGAAUCAAAAUUUUAUUGCAAAGAGUAGACACAUUUUUCUGCUUUUUUUUUUUUUUUUUUAACAUGUACAUAAUAUACAUGAAGUUACUCUUAUUUUGGACCUUGUUUGCAUAAUUUUUUAUCCCUUGCUUUGUUAACUAAAAUUUGUCCAAUCAUAGCUGGAAAAAGUAAGGCAAAAUACAUAAAUGACACCUGAAUUGUCCACAGCGACUCUUAACUCCAACUAACCUAGCAACCAACUAAGCACCUCUAGUCCUCCAAAAUGUGCCUCAUAAAUGCCCGACUCUAAUAGGCUUUAUGUGUGAAUUACAAAUGCACUAACAUAUUUAAUUGGGCCAAUAAUUUGAGUAUACAUGUCAGAGGGGUAAAAAGUAGAUUAAAAAAGUCCUCUAAAAUUAUACUUAAAAAUAAAUAGAUAAAUAAAGAAAGAAAGAAAAGUAAAAGAAAAUCACCUUCCAUGUUCUUCUAACCCCAGGCCCAACCCCUUCACCAUCUUUGCUCCUAUCCAUUCCCCCGGAUUGUUUUCCCCUCCCUUGUCCUUUCACUUCUUCUCCUUCCAUUCUCGUUUUUUUUAAAAAAAAUUACUCUAAAUCAUCAUAAUACCCCCUCCACCUCCCAUUUUCAUUUUCUUCCUCUCCCUUCUUCACUUAUUUUUUGACAAAACUAUUUCCCAAUUUGUGAAUAAACAUUAAUAACAUGCAUCUAUGCUAACAAUUACUAUAUAGAAUGGGUACUGCAAUUCUACCAUAAUUUAGAAAAGGAUUUGGAUUUUUCAAUAGUGAAGGGGGAAGUAAUUGCUUUGUCGAGAAAAUUAAUCAACGCUACGAUCUUUGAUAAUGUUGAUGACCAAGUCACCCAUACUUUUACAAGAAUUCCAAAUGAGGCAAAUGUUGAAAUAGAUACCAUUUGGUUUCUUUUUGGUAUAGAUUGGAUGUAUUAUGGUUUCAGAGCAAGACAAAAAUAUGUUGCCAAACCCACCCUUGCUUUUUUCAAUACUAAGUUAUUACCUAGUUCCCUCAAUUUAAAAAUUACACUCCAAGGGUACUUUUACUCUAUUUCAUCUAUAAUAGAGUGCUUAUCAAUGUUGACAGAAAUAGUAAUAACAUUCAAAGUUGUGUAAAUUUGACUCGAAUGUUCGUAGCAUUUUCUCCCCUUUUGCAAUCACGAUAUUAGAUAGGGAUGUCGAAGUAAAACCAACUCCAAAAUUGUAUAUUAUUGUUUUUUUUCGUUUCAAAAAAAAAAAAACUAAUGGUCCAAAGAGGCAAGAAGGGGAGAAAGAAGCCCAAGAUAGGAGAGGAGGCAUCAACUGAAAGUUGCCUUGUAUGAUGAGACGAAUAAACCAACAGAUGGAGACUUUGAAUAGAACUUUGAUUAGAUGAGGGAAUGAUUUGAUAGGGUAGAGGAGCGGUUGGGAAAAGUUGAGGAAAGAAUUGAUCAAGAUUAACAAGAUAGAGCACAUCCAAAUGAAUGAUUAUAUGAGAGAAAUGGGCAAAAAAUGGGAACUUUAGAUUUUCCUGAAUAUCCUCUUUUUCUUUGGUCUUAUCCAUCCACCACCCUAUUCCUAGGUUCAACAAUGUUGCUGACUUCAUGAACCAAAGGUCCUCUACCUACUUUGGUACCACUAUCAGACCCACCACAUGUGCCCGGUGGCAGUUGUGUCUGAUCCUUUCACCACACAUAGUAACAAUAUAUUUGUUGGUUUAGCUGAUUUGACAAAUGUUGCAGUCAUAUACAUAGACCUUUCUAGCGUGUUUCCCCUUCCAAUAAAGGAGUAGAAAUUCAAAAAAUAGAGGGCAUCAAACAAAGAAAACAAAGAAGAAGUCAAAAUGGAUGGCAAAUGAAAGGGAAUUGUGACGGAGGAACAAAACUCAUCUAGAUCGAUAAUGAUAUGUAUCAGGCUAAUUCUAAUUCUUCUGAGAGGAGAGACAGAUAGGGCAUAGUUGGUUGUCUCUCACUGGAGAAUAAAGUGGCUAAGCAUGGAGAACAUUUAUAUUUUUCGGUGUUGAUAAGAUAUUUUUAUAAAGUAACUAACUCAAUUGGAAUUGUGAAUUCAAAUUUAUAAUGGAACGGAGUUCUAUUGAUAACAACCAAUGAUUACAAUCAACGAAUAAGGAAACACUAAGCUAUACUUCACUAUGAAUCUGCAACUUCCACCAUGGAUACAUGUAGUAAAGCUUAGAAUGAAGUAAUGAAGGAGAAGAUAGAAUAGAAGAGAGAGAAGAAG